rnacentral:lncRNA from 1 species
CUUUGAGGGCUUCAUUAUCAAAUUCUGAUCCGUCUUCUUGUUGACCAGGAUAGCCCUUUGCGAUAUGCCGGAUCAAGAUCAGCAAUCCAAGCUUUCGCCCGAGUCAGUUCUGUUAAAGCACCAGCUCUUGCAGCAGAUCGCUUUAUCUCUUCCAUCUGGGCUGGGGUCAUAGAUGAUUUCGCCAAUGUAUCCUUGAUCAGGGUUGGUGCCGAUUUAUUGAAAGAGGACGCACAGAUGACUCGUUGAGCACCAGUGUACAAUUGUUCUAUCAAUGUGUAGGCUGCUUUCAACUUCAUCCGCAUAUCGGAGCCCAGAUGACCAAUACGACUACCUGCAACGGUUUAAGAAUUUGAUGUUAAACCGGCAUUUCAAAGAUGUUUAAGAAAGGUUCUUGCAAAGAGUACUUACCAAAUAUUGCUGAAGUCAUAGCAUUGACUUGAUGCUUUAGCCCAGUUAGCUCAUCUACCACCGGUUUAAGAGAUGCUUUGGCAUCUUUAGCCCGCUUUAACAGAGCAGCUUUCUCAGUUUCCCAAUCCGCCUGCUCACUUUUAAAACCAUCCUUUAACUGCUCCAUGGCAGUUAAAGCGCCCUUCAGUUCAUCCUUGGCCUUGGAGGUUUCUGCUUGCUGGGGCUUAAUGUUUUCUUGAAGAUCGGCAAUCUGGGAGUCUUUGUUGCUCAAGUCAGCCUGCAAAAGACAGAUGAUGAAGAGGUUAAGAUUGUUUCUCAAAGUCCCAAGCACAUAACAAGUUAUACACUUGGCACUUGGGGGCUAAUGCGGAUUGCUUCUUUUUGACUAUUAUUCAAAGUCCCAAGGCUCAAUACAAGUAUUAAUCUUCGCACUUGGGGGCUAAUGUGUAAUUGAUCAGACAAAUCAAAGGUGAAGGAAUUCAACAAGGAUAGGUUUUGAACAGAAAGUCCCGGUUCAUCUUGAAAAGGUAAACCGGCCCUUGGGGGUUACACAGUUGAAGUCUUUUUUAUCUAAAGUCUCGGUUCAUCUUGAAGAGAUAAACUGGCCCUUGGGGGAUACACUGGAGUUGAUAUAUAGUACAAAGAGAAAUUAUGAAGUGUUUGGAAGUUACCUCAUAGCGCUCCUUGAUCAUAUUGACUAAACCGGCCUCAUAGUCACGGCUUGUAUAUAGGUGGUUUAGGUAUCCAGAGUGAAGUUCUUGAGUGGGGAGAUGAGCAUAGCUGGAAAGAUCAGUCUUCCAUUUGCCAUUCCCUUCAGGAGCAGAUUCCACUUUAGCACUGUGCUUUGACAAAGCGACAUGAUUACUAGGAGAAGUAUGGCCAAACCCAGUAAUCACAACAUCAUCAGUUGCUUUUGGGCUAGCCGGUUUAUCUGAGGCCUUGGCCGGGCUAGGCGGAUCAGCAGUUGGACUUGGAGGAUUGGCAUGCGAGCUUGGUGGAUCAACAUGAGGACUCGCCGGGUUAACCUCUGGCGGAGCAACAUAAGUGUCCUGACCUUGUGGCACAGGAUCAUCCAUAGCAAUAUCGGCAUCUCCACCAGCACCUUCUGAGUUCCUCCCCGGUUCAACCUCAUCAAUGGGGGCAUUGGUCUUUGUUUUCUUGCUCAGUCGAGCUUUGGCACUACUAACUGGCAAACAGAGGUUAAUAUGGUAAACUGGCACAAGAAGGCAAACUUAAAAUUAUUAUACGUACCCAGAGACGGUCUUGAGGGGAGGCAUUUGCGUGGUUGAUGAAUCGCUAGAGGAUGAAUAGGAAGUUACCUGAUAAUUUGAGUCAGACGGAUUAAGAGGGUAUCAGAAGUAACCCGCCAAGGGAUAAGAAUUGAUAGAAUUACAAGAGACCUCGGCACGGCGCUUCCGGAUUGGGGUGUCUAUCGGUGUUCUGGGAACGGGGCCCCCCAGACUUGCCUGCCUGCGGCCUGCGGCGUGGCUCAAGCGAAGGCUCAGUGCAGCCCAGCUUCAUCAGCUCAAGCUCAAGACCCUCGCGAGGGGCCAAGCCUCGUGGGGUGGACGACAGGAACCUUCCUCAGGAGCAGCCUCAUCAGGCAGGCUCGCGAGGAGGCGGAGAGAUCAAGGCAGGGUACCUCACGAGGUGCCCGUGACACAAGCCAUGACGAUUGAGCCCAGGCGGGCGCCAGGCGGGCGUCGGCCUGCGCAGUGUCCUUGUUUCCCCUUUGAUGCAAAGGGAGCAAGCACAAGCCAAGGCAUCAGGCAAAGGUUACCGCUUCGGUGCAACAAGACCAACACCAGCAGAGUGGCAUGAUGGAAGUCAUCGUGGAGCCCAGGAUGGCAUCACCGCCAGAGUCUUUGGCAGUCGAAGACUAACUUUAGUCAGGAUAAGUGUACUAGAUGUUCCCCUUCAAAAUGGCCAAUUGUUGGCGCCCUUCCUGCUCAUUAUUUGGGAAGAGGCCCAGGGCUUCCCUCUAUAAAUAGGACUAGCCACCACAGUAGAAAGGAGAACGGAUCCAGAUUGCGCAUAGACUAGAGAGAGGCGACUAAACUCAACCAAGCAGUUCAUCGCACCAGCUCAAGAACAGCCCCUCGCGAGGUUGUUCUCCCUUUGUAUUGUCCAUGAUCAGCCCCUGAGGCAAUCCACCACACGACACACUGGAGUAGGGUAUUACACCACAAUGGUGGCCUGAACCAGUAUAAAUCUCAUGUCCCUUGUGUGCUCUUCUUGCUAGCCUAGAUUCCUUGCGAGCCAUCGAGACGCGAGUUGGUAGGGGAAAGAUAUUUGUGCGCACCCCAGAGUUCGAACCUCAAGGGUCUGCCAGAACCCGAAAUCCGACAUUUGGUACGCCAGGGGGUGCGCUGGAAUCUUUCUUCCGCUGUUCGCGUGUGAUCUUCCGUCGUAUCCAUGGCUGACGCUCGUCGGGCUCGCGCUGAGCGUCGGCCUGCUCUCGCCACCCGCGUCGCCCAGACGGCGCCCAUUGGUGGACGCCCCCGUCGUUACCCGUCGCCUGCCGCCAACGCCUCCACCGGCCCAGCGGGGAACAAGCAGCAUGCCUCGUCCCUACAUCCUUCGGUGCAGCGGGAAGGCUGCACCGCCACCCCGUCGCUGACUCCAGCCGGUUUGUUGUCCCACACCUGUCGCGCCCCCACGGACGCGCACGCUGUGCUGCUCCUGGCGCGUGAGCUCCUGCACUACCAUCCCAUCGACGACCUCUACGAGGACUGGCUCGCCCACAUCACCGAGCUCGUCAGCGCUGUGGGGGACUCCGCUGCGCCAUCCCUCUCACUGCCUCGCCCUCCGUCCUGCGCAGGAGGCGCAGAACAGGAGGUGCCUCCGCCACCUCCUCCCCAAGAAGGCGCCCUGGCUCCAAGGCGCGCGGCCCCAGGACAAGACCCUCCACGUCCGGCGCCCGUGCGACAAGAAAGGAUUUGCCAAGAAAUCCCUCGCCCCCAAGAAGGUGCCCGCGUGCUCCCAGCACCGGUGCGCCAUGACCGCAUCCCUGCGUUACCACGUCAAGACCCCACGCUGCUCCAAGCGGCGGCGUGUGGGAAUUUCCAGGAGCAAGCCUAGCACCAGCAAAGGGCUCCGGUGGCCACCGCAUGCUGCCGCGCCUUCACCCCCGAGCUACACAGUGUUGCAUGGCCAGGCAAGUUCAAGCCUGACCUGCCCCCUCACUACGAUGGCACUGCAGACCCUGCAGAGUUCCUACAGCUCUAUGAGCUGGGCAUCGAAGCCGCCAACAGGGACGAAAAGGUCAUGGCGAACUGGUUUCCCAUGGUGCUCAAGGACGAUGCCCGCACCUGACUUCUGAACCUAGCUCCUGGCAUGAUCUCCUCCUGGGACGAGAUGCGCACUCGCUUCAUCGCCAACUUCCAAGGCACUCGCGACCGGCCCCCAGCCAUGAGUGACCUGCGCCGCAUCAAGUAACAGCCAGGAGAGACCCUACAGAAGUACAUCCAGCGCUUCAACAAUGCUCGCCUCAAGAUCCCCAGGGUGACUGAGGAAGCCAUCAUCUGAGCCUUCUCCGAUGGCGUGCGUGACAUCAAGAUGAAAGAGGAGCUAGCAAUCCAUGAAGACAUGUGCACAUCCCUGGAGCUGUUCAACUUGGCGACCAAGUGCGCCAGGGCUGAGGAAGGGUGCCUCUCCCUCCUCGAGCUUCCGGCUGCCGAUCUAGAAGAGAAGAAGCCCAAGGUCAAGGACGUGAAGCGUAAGGGAGCUGCCGUGCUUGAAGCGGAGCCAGACACCAAGCGAGGCAGGGGUCAGCCUGGGUCAUCCAAGGGUAGCUGGUACUGCGUGAACCACGACCUCCACACCCACAACACCAACGAAUGCCAAGAGCUCAGGGCCGUACGAGAUGCGCGUAUCAGCCGACGUCUCGAGCGCAACGAUCGGGGCUAUGGCCGAGGAGGCGGAAGAGGUGGAGGACGAUGGGAAGACCGUGGCCCUCGCCAAGGGUGGCGUGACCGACCUCGCGAGGACCGUUGGCAGGACCAGCAUCACGAGAGAGGUUGGAGGGAUCAGCCUCGUGAGGAUCGCCCGCACGGCAACGCAGGCCUCCCUCCUCUGCCACCACCGCCAAGGAGGAAUGAAGACCCGCAUCAGGACAAGGGGGCUGGGGGCUUCCAGGAGCCGCGCGCAAUCGCUUGCAUCCUGGGCGGCGCCCAGGCCCGAGCCUCACAGCGCAUCUUCAAGCAGUUUGCUCGUGAGGUGAAUGUAGUCCUCUCCAAGCUUGAGGCCAUGCACCCUCUCAGGUGGUCUGCGUGCGCUAUCACAUUCAGCUCAGCGGAUUAGCUCAAGUGUGCAGCAACGGCCGGAGUCCUCCCAAUGCUUUGUUCCCCAGUCAUCAGCAAUGUGCAACUCACAAGGACCCUCAUCGAUGGCGGAGCAGGACUCAACGUCCUAUCCGUCGAGACAUUCAACAAUCUCCAAGUGCCAUAUGAUCAGCUUCAGCCGACCAAGCCUUUCUCAGGAGUCACUAAUGGUUCCACUAUUCCGAUAGGGCAGGUUCGCCUUCCAGUCACCUUUGGGCAGCACAACAACGACCGCACCGAGCUCAUUGACUUAGACGUCGCCCACAUUCGCCUGCCGUACAAUGCCAUCCUCGGGUACCCAGCCCUGGCCAAGUUCACGGCAGUGACUCACCAUGGCUACAAUGUCCUCAAGAUGCCAGGAAGCGGUGGAGUUAUCACAGUACCCUGUGAGGAAAGGGAUGCAGUGUGUUCUCUUGAGCGUGCCUUCCAAGCCGUGGCAAUCGAAGACCCAGAUCACAGUAGCGGAAGGCUUCCCGAGGCGGUCCCGAAGAAGAAGAAGGCUUCGCCUGGCCCAAGACAUUAGGAGGCGGGUACUUCUGGAGGCGUAGCGUCAGGAUUCGCACCCGUUCAGGGGGCGCCACCCUUUGUAGCAUAGGAAGGCGCGCCCGACACCCUCCUCGGGCAGGGCUUGGGGGCUCUUUCUUGGAGGGACACUGACUUUGCCAAGGUCACGAGGGAGGCGCUCGGGCACCACUUGGAGGCAUGCUUCAAAGCACGUUUCCCUCAGGAAGGUAUGAGGCAAGGAGGGCCAAACCCUUAGGAGUUUAUUGCGAGAAACACUCAGGAGUCAAGAGUCAUGCGCGGCAGCCGCCGCCUACCCGCCGCAGCCCCCCAUCCAGGCAAGGAUGGCGUGCUGCGCGUCUGCAUCAACGUGCCAGGGCUCAACCGAGCCGCGUCUCAGGAGCGCCUCUGACCUUCGCGCAUGGGGCGUUGCGAGGGGCCACCUCACAGCUACGUUCGCAUGCCUUUCGGCCUGCCGAACGCGGUCGCCGCUCAUUAGCGCCUACCGAGGAGCAUUUUGGAGGCUCAGGAGGUCAGGCAUCGCACGGUCCUGGCGGAGAUGGAGACGGCCCUCGAAGAUCCACCUGUGCCCCCGGAGCCUCCCGAGGCUCCUGGUCCCAGGAGCUCGUGAGGGUCGGCUUCCUCACCGCGCAUCGUCCGCUGCUUCAGCAUCCCUGCAUCUUUAACGGUAUCAGGUGACAUCUUUCAAAGUUCCAUUUUCAGCUGGGAGCGCCCACAGGGCUGCAUCAUUCCCAGGUCACGUGGGUCCGUCCCUGCAGCAUGUAUCCAUUUUGCUCAUGUUCUCUGCUUACCUUGUUGGGGGCGCCCUUCGGGCUGCAUUAUCCCCAAGUUGCUCGGGCCUGACCCAGUGGCCUUUGCUUCUCCGCAUUUAUCUAAAUAGAUUUGCUCCUCCAUGCUUAACCUGAUUCCCGUGAUCAUCGCGGACCUCUCCACUCUCAUGCAAAGCGCUUGCACGUUAAAAGGGGGUGCCUGAGCAUCGCGACUCAUGGACUCUUACUGGCUCUCCAGCCCUCACCCCCUGGCCUUGACCCACGGCAUCGCGACCUGUGAUACCAGCGGUGGCUGAGCUUGCUCGAGGGCUGGGACCAGAGGACGUAGAGCAUUUGCAAUCUAACCACCUUGCAGGAACAUACCAUUGAUAAAGGCCCAGAGCCAGGCGCAACCCGCCUCGAGGUAGGGCCUCGUGAGUCCCGCGCUGGCUCACGGGUGCCCAGAUACACCUCUCCUAGCCCUACCGUGUCGGCCACAUGUCAGGGCGGGGCUGUACAUGCCCCGGGGGCUCCUCCCGGAGGGGAGCCCCCUCCCACGCACCAGUGGAAGCACCAUGCUCCGCGUUGGCUGACGACACUGCCGAGGAGCGGCUAUGCCCGUACACAUACAAAAGCACUAUGCUCCGCGCUGGUGAUAAACAACUAAGGGCGGCCCACGGCCGUAUCAACCACAGGGAGCCCGGAGCUUAGUGUCCGGCACCGUCACAACGCCUCCCCUCGGGAGUGCCGCGCGAGGGGGCUGGACACGGGGGCUACGCCCGGGCCACGCCCGAGCGCACGCCACCUAGCCAGGUCCCUCAGACCUGGUCGUCGCGCGCCCCUCCCCGAGCGGAGCCAAGGUACGAAAGCUCGUUUGCACGUCAAGGGGGACUCCUGAGCAUCGCAACUCAGGAGCCUAACUGGUCACGUAGCCCCUCACUCCUUAGUCCCGUCUUGGUUUCCGCUCGGGGCUAACGGCGGAUGAGGUAUGCGCGGGGCCGGGCCCUGUCGACGUAGAAUGACAAAUCCACUCCUAUGCCUCCCUUCCCUACUUGCUGUUUGCGCGUCAAGGGGGACUCGUGAGCAUUGUGACUCAGGAGCCUAACUGGUCACGUAGCCCCUCACUCCUUAGUCCCGUCCUGGUUUCCGGUCGGGGCUAACGGCGGCUGAGGUAUGCGUGGGGUCGGGCCCUGCCGAGUAGAACACAAGCAAAUAGGAGGGAAAAUGCAAAUUCUAGAGAAUUCAAAAGCAAAUAUUACAAUCCAUAGAUUGUUUCACAACGCCAAACACAAGUUUAAACGCCUCCACAAGGCAUGGUGCAUGUCGCAUGAAUUAAAAUAGGACAGAAGCUGCGAAGGGAUCACUUUCCAGUGGUGCCGCCGCCUGUGGUGGAGUCACGCUGGGCGACUCCACCUCCUGAGGCCGCGAAGCUGGCGGCAUCGCACCCGGGCAAGAUGCUGAAGGCACGGAACCUCCCCAGCAAAGCCUCGGCUCGGCCUUUCACAUCCUCAGCAGCAGCGGCGGCAAGGUCGCCACUCACAGGUUCCAGCAGGCUGUCAAGGUCGACGUUGGGGUCGCGAAGGUAGACGUGCCUGAGGACACGCGUCAGCGCUGUAGAAGACACGGCACGCACCUCGGCCUCGGCCGUAGGACCAAGGCCGUCUGCGACAUCUUCAAGCGCGCGGACCAGCAAGGGAAGCAGCUCGGUGGGGCCGUCCUCUGCACCAGCCAACGGUUUUUCUAAGCCGCCCUCAUAAAGCGUCUUCAGCGCGGCGCGAGCUUUCUCCUCCAGCUUCGCGAAGGCCACUCGAUCCUCCGCCAGGACCUUCGCCUUGCCAUCUAGCUUGGUCCUCUCCGCCUUCAGCACCUGCUCCAGGGUCUCCAACCGACCACGGUGGUCAUCAAGCUCGGCGUCCCGGUCCCUGACGGCGGCCUCCCGGGCCUUCAUCUCCUUCUCCUUCUCCUGGGGGCCGCAGACCUCCUUGGCGAGCUCGUCACGCAGGCCUUGCAGCUCGACCUCCAGCACCAUGCAGCAGCCCCGGGCAUCCGCAGCGUCGCCCAGGGCAGCAUCGCGAGUGGCCUUGGCCUAACAGGUGGCUUGCUUCUCCCCAUCGGAGGCCGACACGGCCUGGCUCAGCACCGCUCGGACGGAGGCGGCAGAGUGGGCCCAGCCAGAAGCUAGUUCCAGGCGCCCGACCACUAGGCAAGGGUCCGUGCUCCGAAGAUCCUCCCGCAACCGGCUCAGUUCAUUGGCAGCCCGGUCCAGGACGGCGGAAGAGUCAGAAGAUACGGGAGCCGGCGGAACAGGCGGAGAGGACGGCAGCGUGAUCACAGCUUGGGAGGAAGGAACCCCCUGGGCCUUGGCCACCCUGGCGACAGCAUCAAGCGCUGGCACCUCCAGAGUCAGCGGGGCCACGGGGGCUGACUCCUCCCCUGAGCGUCCUUGCUGGCCUCACGAAGGCGAUCGGGCAGGAGAGGCGCGAGCCUCGCUGCCUCCUUUCCCCGCAGAUGAAGGCGCUGCCCCGGCAGAUUAACUCCCCCCAAGCAGGGUCGCCGAGGACCCUUUCAACCUUUUUGUUGCAGGCGCCGGCCUGGCCAAAAGGAUGCAGAUGUCAAGCCUUGGUGACGGAAACAAAGCAAAACACGAAUCGAGCACUUACUGGUCAUCGAUCGAGGACUCAAGCAGCCUCCAGCCAAACUUGAAGCCCGAGAGCCUGCAGUUGGAGUCAGCCUUGUGAGGCACGGAAGCAGAAGGUGCGUCAGGAGGGCCUAAGCUGGCCUCAGACCGCCCCGGGACCAGAGCAGACCCUGGGAGAACCAGCCCCGUCCUGCCCUUCCUCAGGAUCAAGGGAGAGUUGCCGGCCUCGUCGUCGUCCGGCAUGGAGCGAAGCGCACGGGACCUGCGCCGAGGGAAGGACUCCCUCGACUCCUCGCCGGUCGCCUCAGAGUCGGGCUCUUCUUCCUCCUCACUCCCGCUGGAGUCGUCGGAGAACACGUUCACCGUUGCCAGCGCCGCUAGGUCCUCGGGAGCUUCUGCGGGCACCAGCCCCUCACUGUUGAAGGUGGGCAUGGCGUUCACCACCUGCUCCCAGCCGUUGCGAAGGAACAGGGGGACGGGAGCGCCCUCCGGGCUCGCCACAUCCCCCCAACCAAGGAGUGGAGAGCUGCGACCAGAUCUUCGUCGGUCAGGGCCUCAGAGCUUAGGUGAAGGGCGACAUCUGCUUCCCCAAGCCUCCACAAUGGGAGCGAGUGCUCCCGGAGUUGAGCCACCCGGUGCUCCAGGAACUCCCUCAGGAGCGUAGCCCCGGUCAGCUUCGCCGCCCCCAAGUUGCCUGGCCUCAGGUCCGCGUUGAUCCUCUUCGGCACCACCUUCACGCGGGGGUCGACAAGCUCCGCACGGGACCACGCGUCAACAGCCUUGGGCGGCCCCGUAGGCAGCACCAGUCGAGGGUGGAUGCGCCCAACAUCCACCAUGACCCACUUGAUCCGGUAGCCGUCGAUCCUCUUCCCGGGCUUCGAGAUAGCAUUGGAGUUGGAAUAUGCGAUAAAGCUCGCACACGCGGUGAUGUGGGCACCAGAAACUCAGAGGGAGAAGUAAUGACGCAGCAAGGCCACUGAGGGCCUUACCCCAACGUGAGCCUCACAAUAGUAGGCGAAAAUCGCCAGGAGAAGAACAGAGUUGGGGUGGAGGUGCAGAGCUUGAAAGUUGUACUGACGAAGAACAGUGAGGAAGAACUCGGAAAAGGGAGGCACCAAACCGGCGAUGAUGGCGCUCAUAAAGAGCGGGUAGAAGGUGCUCCCCUUGCCUUCAGGCUGGGCGGAGCCGGCCUUGAGCACAGUUGCCCCCAUGUUGCCCUGCACCACCUUCAUCAGGCGCGUGAGGGCGAGAUUCUUCUCCGACACGUUCGGGGGAUCCAGAGCCGACGAGUACCAGGCCUCGGCCGGGAUCUUGCGAGGCGCCAUGGCUUGCUGGAUGGAAGGGAUUGAGACAGAUCUGGAGGAUUUCGGGGGCAAGAAGGAGAAGGGCGAGAGAGGGGAUCUGGAGCAAGGCGAACGAGAAAGAAGAAAGUAAGUCUGGCCCGGGCACCUCUUUUUGUCAGAUGGACGGUUGCCGAGGCGUCGUGAGGAAGCAGAGACGCCCACGUCCAAUCAAUUGCCACGCGGUGCCCAAGGCCGCAGGCUAUUGGGGCCCGCGGCGCUUCACACUUUCCCUUCGCUUCUCUGCUAAGCCAAGUACGGGCGCGCCUUGGGCCCGGUGGCUACUGUUGGUGUUCUGGGAACGGGGGUCCCCAGACUUGCCUGCCUGCGACCUGUGGUGUGGCUCAAGCGAAGGCCCAGUGCAGCCCAGCUUCAUCAGCUCAAGCUGAAGACCCUCGCGAGGGGCCAAGCCUAGUGGGGUGGACGACAGGAAGCUUCCUCAGGAGCAGCCUCAUCAGACAGGCUCGCGAUGAGGUGGAGAGAUCAAGGCAGGGUACCUUGCGAGGUGACACAAGCCAUGACGAUCGAGCCCAGGCGGGCGCCACGCGGGCGCCGGCCUGUGCAGUGUCCUUGUUUUCCCUUUGGUGCAAAUGGAGCAAGCACAGGCCAAGGCAUCAGGCAAAGGUUACCGCUUCGGUGCAAAAAGACCAAGACCAGCAGAGCGGCAGGAUGGAAGUCAUCGUGGAGCCUAGGAUGGCGUCACCGCCAGAGUCUUUGGCUGUCGAGGACCAACUUUAGUCAGGAUAAGUGUACUAGAUGUUCCCCUUCAAAAUGGCCAAUUGUUGGCGCCCUUCCCGCUCAUUAUUUAGGACGAGGCCCAGGGCCUCCCUCUAUAAAUAGGACUAGCCACCACAGUAAAAAGGAGAUCGGAUCCAGAUUGCGCAUAGACUAGAGAGAGGCGACUGAACUCACCCAAGUAGUUCAUCGCACCAGCUCAAGAACAGCCCCUCGCGAGGCUGUUCUCCCUUUGUAUUGUUCAUCAUCAGCCCCUGAGGCAAUCCACCAAACCACACGCUGGAGUAGGGUAUUACACAACAAUGGUGGCCUGAACCAGUAUAAAUCUCGUGUCUCUUGUGUGUUCUUCUUGCUAGCCUAGAUUCCUUGCGAGCCAUCAAGACGCGAGUUGGUAAGGGAAAGAUCUUCGUGCGCACCCCAGAGUUCGAACCUCAAGGGUCUGCUAGAACUCGAACUCCGACAAUGUCUGGUAAACCGGAGGAAGUGACUUGCUGGCCACUAUGUCGGGUUGUGCGACGAGCUUCAGGAUGCUGUGGAUCCAAAUGAGUGAAAGGAUGUGAACAUUUCACUUUCGGACUGCGUGACGGAUUUUUCUUACUGGCACAAGAUCGGAAUUGGAGGAAAGGGAGAUUACCUCCACAUGGUCCGCAUGGCAAGCUUCUGCAUCAUCCUAGUAAUGGUCGUUGUCAAUAAGGUGAAUGAAAAAUGAACCAAGGGAGUCAAGUUCUACCUCUUGUUCCGAAUCAUCAACAUCUUCGGGUGGAUCAGAAGACUCAACAAUUUUCUUCUUGGAUGGCCUCUUUGUGGCCUUGCUCUUGCCACGAGGAGCCCUCGCCGGUUUGUCUUGAGCUUUGGCCAGUUUGUUUUGAGUUUUCCUCUUCCAGAAAGGAUCUUUUGCCUGUAAGAAUAAACAAAAGAUUGUCAGAAAAAUGUUAAAGCGAAGACGGAUUGAAAAGCAGAAGGGUAAAAUUUUACCGCUGGCGGUUUGUUGGAGGCAUAAAAAGGACGCAGCCUAGUCUUGCUGCACUCAGCAAUCGGUUCAUCCAGCAUCUUUUUAACAGAUUCAGUGACUUCAUCAUCGUUCAUCUGUAUUUUAGUGUGGCGUUGAGGAUCCUUGACAUCCUCGGUAUACUCAUGCAUCAACCUGGUGCGGCGGCUUAAGGGCAGGAUACCCCAUGAAACCCAGCAAUGGACGAGGUCAAUGCCGGUUAAGCCGUUUGCUAGAAGAGCCCGGAGCUUAGCAAGUUGAGGUGCAUAUGUUUGUCGUUCCUUGGCAGUGAGCCGCUGAGGCAGUGGAUGUCCAUUGCUAAGCCGGUAAGCACGGUAACUCGACAGAGGAUUUUCAUCAGCAGGAGUGGUAUUCUGACAAUAGAACCAUGCUUGGUUCCAAUCCUUGGGGUGGCUGUGAUGUUUGGCAUGACGAAAAUCGACUUCUUUCCUUUUCCGAAUCGACACUCCGCCAAGUUCAAUAUUGGGGCCGUCAGAAAAUUCAGUGCGGUGGUUCAAGUGGAAGAAGUCCCUGAAGAGUUCAACAGUCGGUUCUUCUUGAAGAUAAACUUCACAGAACACUUGGAAAUUGCAGAUGUUAGAAACAGAGUUCGGUCCAAUGUCUUGAGGAUGGAGUUGGAAGUUGGCAAGUACAUCCCGGAAUUUUUUUGAUCCGGGAGGGCUAAACCCUCGGUCCAAAUGCUGCAUAAAUACAACAACUUUUCCAUCUUGGGGUUCAGGAGGGUUUUCAGCACCAGGGACUCUCCAAUGAAUGAUUUCCUUCUUUGCCAAAGCGCCGGUUAGGACAUAACCAGUGAGUUGUUCUUCUAUGAUCCGGGAGGGAACCCAAUUGCAAGAAGUGAAUUGUUUGGCCAUUUUGAUGACAAACUGUAAAGGAAGUGCAAAUGUCGGUUCACGGUUCAAGAUUGAUAUGCAUAGACUGGUAUCAAACCAGAGAAUUUAAUCAAAAGCGUGUGUGUACAUUAAACCGGAGAUGGAUGUUCAGGGACAAAUGGCGGUUUACAAGAGGGCUAACGGUACCUACCGGAUUGUCGUUUUCUACAGGUUAAACCGCCUAUAGUGGCACGAAGGGCAAUAGAUCUGAAAAUUACUAAGUGCUACACAAAUAGGUUUCACAGACUAAGGAUUAUUACUUUGGAUAUAACAUAGUUCAGGAAAAAGAAAAAAUGUUAAGGCCCUAAAAUAGCAACAGCGGAACAGAAAGGAGCCAGAUGAGAUUUGUUCGUGGUCCUAAAGGUAUUAUGCGGAGGCAAAAUAAACUAAAAGCUUCGGCCGCAGAAGGAAAAGGUCAAGUUGAUCUUGAUUCAAUAAGAUAGUAAGGGCAGAAUAAUGAGCAUGGACGAACACUGAUGAACACAGACGAACACCAAAACCCUAAUGCAGAUCUAGGAUUGAGGGAAAGGGGUUUACCAGAUUCACAGGAGUAGCGGAAGAGAACCGCAGAUCUCUGGUGCGUUCAGGUUGAUGCAGCGGCCAGGGAUGAGGCAGAGCUUGAAGGUCGAUGGCGGCGGCGGAGCUGUCGAGCUUGAGCGUAGAGAGGAAGAAGAAGAAGUGCGGAAGGAGAAAAGGGAAGGACCCCUAGGCCUAUUUAUAAGGCAAAUGGAUGAAGGAGGCAAGCGCGAGAAUCGAGGAGCCCGAAAUGAUAAAAUGGGGCACAACUGUCGCCUCGAUCUUCGGAGUCAGUUAAUGAAAGGGAAUCUUUAUGAGUUUUUUAUGCAGAUGACGUGAUGGCAGUUUAUGGUGAUUUCCAAAGAUGAUGUCAUGUAGGUUUAAAGUUAAUAUGAAGAUGUUUCAGAUCAGAAUUUUUCUAAGUUGAAGAUUGACAUGAACAGGUUCAAAUCAAUCUAGGGCCUAAUGUUGAGGAUAUAACUACUGAGUGUAAACCGCCCAGGAGGAGCCGGUUCACGCUCAUCUAUAUUGAAGCUCAUGAAGACAAAGAAGAUGACGCUCUACUAUUAAAGCUUAGAGGCCCAGAGCCCAAAGGAGGAUUAGGGCCCAUAGUUGUAAACUGCCAUAAUCAUAUAACUUGUAUUGUAAGAUAGGGAGAGGAAGAGACCGAGCCGGACACUUGUAUGAGCCAGCCUCGGGACUCUGUAAACCGGCCGGGCGUCAAGCUGUGUAUAUAAAGGGAUGACCCGGCGGCAGUUCAGGAACAAAAAACAACAACUCGAGACUCAGGCAAAGCGUAUUCGCUCCCUGCUCAUCGAGAUCAAUCAAUCCCACAACAACUAGACAUAGGCUUUUACCUUCGUCGUAAGGGGUUGAACUAGUAUAAAACUCUCGUGUCCCUUGUCUGGUUUAACCCCUUUAAGCUAAUCUUGUUGCGAUGGCUCCACGACUAAGUCCUUCUGCUAGGACAUCUGAUGUGUUAAUUCCAUGACACUGGUAUUUCGGCUUCAUCCUCGCGAGGAGCCCUCGAUCAGGUCCACGGGCACCAGCACCCCUCAUGUCCGUGCCCCCUGGGCAGCGCGACACGGUGCAUCGGGUCCGAGCUAAUCUAUGGAAGGGGACUCACGUAAGGGGGAGUGAGCCGCUCGACAAGUUUUCUCUUCCUUCAAAGGACAGCUCUGUCACGGCUCCUAAGAGCACAAGGCGUAUCUUCCGGGGGCUGCAUCAAAGACUCCCCGGGGAAGGGGGCCCCGUCAAGUACCUGAGGUCAGGUCCUCGUGAGGCAAAAAACGACUACACAUACCAAGCUAAGCUCUCCUACCUUAACUCACUCAGAUCGCAAACAUUACAACGCAGUAUCAAGAUGGCAAUUAUAACAUAAAAGGUAUAACAGCAAUAGUUCAUUACACGCCCCCGCAGGGUACAUCUUUCUUUUUUCGGAUUGCAGGAGAAAGGAAAAGCUAAACAAAGAGGGCCUGAAGACGUAUGAGCUCGGCACCAGUGCCGCAUCCUCAAGCAGCGCCUCAAGGUGACCUGGCGUGCCACCAGUUCUCCCAUAGGUGACCCGGGGCCGCCGGCCUUGAGUCCAAGUUCGUCGGCCCCCAGCUUCACGCCGGGCUCCUCUCUAGCUUCACUAGAGCACCGCGGCAGGACGAACCCCCGACAUCCUCGACCCAAGCACGACGACGCAGGGGCUGGUCGUAUCCGCCACUGCUUGAGCUCUCAUCCGAGGAAGAGCUGCCGUCUCGGGAGGGGGAGCGCGCAUCGCCAAGAACAAGCUCAUCAUCGCCACCGUCGUUGUUGCUGCCAUCCUCCGGGCAGCACCCCACGCGGCGGGCGUCCUCCCUGAACAGCCUCACGUAGAGGGUCGCCAGGCCGUCGUACUUAAAGUGGAGGUUGCACCUUCCGCCCAGGCCACACGCGCGGGCAAAGGUCUGCCAGCCACGAGUCAGGACCACGCUACCGGAGGCGGUGACCUCGGUACCAACAGAUGAAGCCCUGCUGCAGCAGCCCUCAGCCUGCAGCCAGAGACCAUUGGGCCCUGAAGAAGGAAGCUCGCCAGAGAAGAAGGGUGGGAGGCAAAGCAAGGUGCCAGUCGGGCUCUCCGACCACACCACGAACUCAGGGAGCACGUCCAGCAAGGAGAAGCGCGGCCGAGGCGGGCGCACGAUCACGGCAUGCCUUCCUUCAUCAUGGGGGCUGCUCUGAAGCCGGUGGGCCCCGCCGUGGGAAGAGGUGCCAUUGUGGGCGCCUAGAGCAAUGCUUCCUAUGGGGGGCGCGCCCCCGCGCCCCCUAGAAGCUGCCGGAGGGACCGCGGAGUGCUUUCGGGGACAACCACGACCCCUCUUGAGAGGAGGAGAGGCUGGCCCCUCCUUGGAAGCUUUCCCCUUCUCGGCCGCUGAAAACCUCUUCGGGGAUGCCAUGGGAGCAAGACGGAGAGGAGAAAAGCAGGCGGGAGCAAGACCAACGAAAGAUGGGCGGGGGGCUCUGCCCCUCCCUCACAUUUAUAGCCAAGGGAGGCCAACCGCCGGCCUCCAUGACCUCAUGCCAUCAUGACCUUCUGCAUGUCGCAUCGACCAGUCAAGUUGAGCAGUUGUCGAGGCAGCAUGGGGAAGCAAAGUCGCCCACAUCCCAUCAAUCGCCAUGCAUCAUCAAGGCCGCAAGCGGUUAGGGCCCGCGGCGCUCCGCACUUGCCCUUUGGCUUCGCCUGGAAGCCAAGUCCGAGCGCGCCUUGGGCCUGGGGGCUAAUGUUGGCGUCCUGGAUUCGGGGGUAUCCAGCCCUGCCUGCCUGCGGCCCACCACGUGGCUCCAUCGACGGCCUGGUACGGCCCAGCUUCAACAUCAACAACGCAAGACCCUCCUGAGGAGACAAGCCUCGCAAGGUAGGCGACGCCAAGACCCCAGAAGGAACUGGCCUCCUUGGGCUGGCUCCUGAGGGGCGGAGAGUUCUAUGCAGGUUACCCCACGAGGCUCAGCUGACGUGAGCCAUGACGACCAAGGCCGAGCGGGCACCACGCGGGCGCAGGCGGGCGCAGAGUGCAGGUUUCCUCUUUCGUGCAAAGGAGGCAAGCCAUAGGCGCGGAGUCCCGAGGAACCAGCCAAAGGUUUCCAUUCUGCUGCAACAAGACCAAGACCACCAGGAUGGCAGGACGGAGGUCAUCAACGAGCCCACUACGGUGUCAUGACCAGAGGCUUUUCGCAGGUGAGGACUACUUUUGUCAGGAUAGACUGUACUACUUGUCCCCUUUCAAAUCCGGCCAUUGUAGGAUCCCUUCCCGCUCAUAUUUGGGAAGAGGGCCAAGGCCACUAUAAAGAGAACUAGCCACCACCAUAGAAAGGGGACGAAAUCAGAACAAGUAGAACUAGCAUACACCACACUAGCACAAGAACACCUCACCUCCUGAGGCUUGUUCAUCCUCUAUACUAGCUCAGCCUCAGCCCUUCGAGGCGAUCCACCAAAACGCUGGAGUAGGGUAUUACACCACAACGGUGGCCUGAACCAGGAUAAAACUGCCAUGUCUCUUUGUCCCUUUGAGCUUGACACGCUAGGCUUAGGAGGUUCGCGAGUAGGUAGGCUGGGUAGGUUGAGAUCGCCGCACUGACCCCAGAGUUUGACCUCACGGGUUUGCGGAUCCCACAAUCCGACAAGUGCGAUAAUGAUGUCUUUGUUGCUGAAUGUUCUACUGCUUUUGAUGUUGCAAUAUCUUCAACUGUUGAUGUGGUAACUAACCCCUCUACUGAGGAUGCCACUACUAUUGCUGAUGAGAAUGCUAGGUUGAAGACAUUGCUUGAGACUGGCAUGUACAAAAGCCUCAAACGGCAUCAAACCUUGUGUGAUGUCAUCAAGAAAUAGAUUCUGAACCGAAACCCUAGGAAAGAGGGUGUUGGUUUCGAGAGGAAAAUGAACGUUGAUGGCUCAUAUUGGACGCCUGAGCAGUACCCCAAAACCACCUGGGUUGCUGCUAAGGAUCCUUCAGUUGACCCAUCCAUGUUAUCUGGCUUCACUUGUGCUAACCCAAUUGUCAUUGAUGAAUCCUUUGAUGCAAACUAUAAACUAUUUAAGAAUCAGAAUGGUGAAGUGUUUGCCAGGUACAUUGGUACUAACUGUAGGAACGGUUCACCCCAGAAGAAGAUAUGGGUGCCCAAAAUUUGUCUUGAGAAGCUUCCCGUGAAUGUCAUCAGGAUACCACCGGGGAAGAAGACAAACCCCCUACCAAAGGCAUCAUAUGGUCCAAAGGCUUCAUUCAGACAGAGGACCACUCAUGGUCACCAUAACACCAAUGUUUUGCAGGAGAAUUGCUAUGAGACUCGUGAAUAUGAGCGUGUUUCCUCUAACCGCUAUGUUCACAAAACUAAGAACUUUUAUGCAUAUUCUUAUGAGUACUAUUCUCCUCCUGCGAAGCUAUUUGCUAGGGCUCCCAAGCCAAAGUUCUCAGAUGCUACACUUAGACUCAUUGCUUCUAAGCCACCCUGAAGAUGUGGGUUGUUAAGAAGAGUUAACUUUUCUUGCAGGGAAAGGUCUCCAGUCAGAAAGCAAAAUCUUCUGACGACAAUGUUGGAGACCUAAAACAUCUUGUGGGACGCAAGAUAAAAUGCUCCAAUGGUCUUAUCAUGUAUUUCGUCCUAGGGUUCCUUGACGUGCAUCCUAUCAUGCCUAACCAGAAUUUAAACUUUGAUAAUAUGCUUGUUCGCUACAUGUCUCUGCUUCACAAUACUCUUGGUGAAGCAUAUCCCGCUAACUGCACUGUAGGGUACAACUCCAAAAGCCACUGAAUGGAUCAUGGACAUCAGCUGCACCAACCACAUGACUGGUGAUUCAAGUCUUCUUAUGGAUUCAACCCUACGUCCAUCUACUAAGAGCCACAUCACAUUCAUUGACACUGGUAAAAGCAAGGUAUUAGGUCUUGGUAGAGUUGCUAUCUCAAAAGAUCAGCACAUGGAUAAAGUGAUGCUUGUUGAAUCCCUUGGUUACAACUUAAUGUCUGUGUCAAUGAUCUUUGAUCUCAACAUGAUUGUGAUAUUUGGAAAAUAUCAUUGUCUUGUGCUAAUGGAAUCUAACAAAUCUCUAGUCUUUGAAGGCUAUCGAAGAGGUGAUCUGUAUAUGGUAGAUUUCUCAGCAGGACCCCAGCUUGCCGUAUGUCUUCUAGCAAAGGCUUCAGAAUGCUCGCUAUGGCAUCUACGGCUAGGACAUGCGGGCAUGAGAAACCUGUACACUCUCGCAAAGAAGAAGCACAUAAUUGGCAUCAAGGGUGUCAAGUUCAAGAAGGAUCAUCUAUGUGGUGCCUGUGAAGCUAGAAAGAUGACAAGAGCCAAGCAUCCCUCAAAGACAAUCAUGACUACCUCACGCCCCUUCGAGCUGCUUCACAUGGAUCUAUUUGGCCCUACUCACUACUCUACUCUUACUACUACUGCACAUCUCCAUGGCUUCGUUGUUGUUGAUGAUUACUCUAGAUACACCUGGGUGCACAUAAUUCUCUAUAAGACUGAAGUGUAGGAUGUCUUCAGACGCUUCGCAAACCGGGCCAUGAUGAAAUAUGGCAUCAAGAUCAAGCACAUCCGGAGUGACAAUGGCACUGAGUUCAACAACGCCGGCCUCGACAUUUAUCUUGAUACCUUGGGCAUCACACAUGAGUUAUCUUCUCCUUACACACCUCAGUAGAAUGGCAUCGUAGAGCGCAAGAACAGAACACUCAUUGAGAUGGAACGAAUGAUGCUCGAUGAGUACAAGACUCCAAGAAAAUUCUGGCCUGAAGCUAGUGAUACUGCAUGCCACAUCAUCAACAGAGUAUAUCUUCACAAGUUCUUCUAGAAGACAUCUUAUGAACUUAUGACUGGUAAAAAGCCAAAUGUCAGUUACUUUAAAGUCUUUGGUGCUAGGUGCUGGAUCAAAGAUCCACAUCACACGUCUAAAUUCGCACCGAAAGCACAUGAAGGUUUUAUGCUUGGUUACGGAAAGGACUCGCACACCUACAGAGUCUUCAACCUCUUUAACUAUAAAGUGGUUGAAACUGUAGAUGUGCGGUUCGUUGAGACUAACAGCUCGCAAAGAGAGCACCUGCCAAAUGUGCUAGAUGAAGCUACACCGGGUGAAGCUGUCAAGUUGAUGGGUACUGGAGAAAUCAUACCCACAGAGGAACAAGCUGAGGAUGAGAUUAUCAUUUCUGCACCUAAUCAACCUGAAGACAAUGCUCAGUCCGAAGCCAAUGCUAAAGACGAAGACAACAAUUAGUCAGAUCAAAAUCUUCGUCCAGCUCAUCCUCGGGUUGCAAAUGAAGUCCAGGUUGAGGAGAUCAUUGAUAGCAUCAACUCUCCUGGCCCUCUCACUCAUCAAGAGCUACACAACUAGCAAACUUCUAUGGUCACUUUGCCUUUGUCUCUAUAUCUGAACCCAAGAAAGUCAAAGAAGCCUUCAUGGAACCUGAAUGGAUUCAAUCUAUGCAAGAAGAGCUUCAAUAGUUUGAACUGAAUAAUGUCUGGGAGCUUGUCAAACAUCCUGAUCCUCGCAAGCACAGUGUCAUUGGCACGAAAUGGAUCUAUCACAACAAGCUAGAUGAACUUGGACAACUUGUCAGAAACAAAGCUCGCCUUGUUUCUCAAGGUUACACUCAAGUGGAAGGUAUAGACUUCGAUGAAACCUUUGCUUCUAUGGCACGGCUUGAAGCCAUUCGCAUACUGCUGGCUUAUUCCAACCAUCACAACAUUCUUCUGUACCAAAUGGAUGUGAAGAGUGCCUUUCUCAAUGGCAAAAUCGAAGAAGAAGUGUAUGUCGCUCAACCACCUGGUUUUGAAGAUCCUAAGCAUCCCGAUAAGGUGUACAAACUCAAUAAGGCACUGUAAGGCCUCAAACAAGCACCUCACGCUUGGUAUGGCACACUCAAGGAAUUCCUGAAGAGCAAAGGCUUCAAACCUGGUUCACUAGAUCCCACUCUCUUCACGAAGACAUAUGAUGGUAAAUCAUUUGUGUGUUAAAUAUACGUGGAUGACAUUAUCUUCUGAUGCACUGAUAAGAGAUACAGUGACGUUCGGAUACAUAAUGCAAGAGCAAUAUCAGAUGUCCAUGAUGGGGGAGCUGAAAUUCUUCCUUGGUCUUCAAAUCCAUCAACAUUGCAAUGGCAUCUUCAUAUCGCAAGAAAAAAUACCUCAAAGAUUGCCUGAAAAAGUUUGGAAUGCAAGACUGCAAAGGGUACACGACGCCAAUGACAACCAAAAGUCAUCUCGGCCCUCACAACAAUGGUAAAGAGUUCGAUCAAAAGGUAUACCGCUCCAUGAUUGGUUCUUUGCUCUAUUUAUGUGCAUCUAGGUUUGAUAUUAUGCUUAGCGUUUGCAUGUGUGCCCGAUUCCAAGCGGCACCAAAGGAGUCGCAUCACCUUGCGGUGAAGCGAAUACUUAGAUAUUUGGCUCACACCCCAACACUAGGAUUAUGGUAUCCAAAGGGCUCAACAUUUGAUCUGGUUGGAUAUUCUGAUGUUGAUUAUGCUGGUGACAAGGUUGAUCACAAGUCCACUUCAGGAACAUGUCACUUUCUUGGAAGAUCUCUUGUCUAUUGGUCUUCAAAGAAGCAGAACUGUGUAUCACUCUCCACUGAUGAAUCUGAAUACAUUGUUGCUGGAUCGUGAUGUGCUCAGCUUCUCUGGAUGAAGCAAACUCUCAAGGACUCUGGCAUCAACACGAAGAAUGUGCCACUCUUCUGUGACAAUGAAAGCACCAUCAAGCUCUCCAAGAAUCUAGUCCAGCACUCGAAGACAAAGCACAUUGAGAUUCGUCAUCACUUUCUCAGAGAUCAUGUCAACAAGGAAGACAUUGAUAUCAUUCACGUCAACACUGAAGAGCAAUUGGCUGAUAUCUUCACUAAGCCCUUGGACGAGAAGAGGUUUUGCAAGCUGCGGUGUGAGCUAAAUAUCUUAGAAUCCUCAAAUGUCUAGUGAAUGGACACACAUCCUAAUGCUUAUGCGUGUUGAUGACUUAGAUGUGCAACACAUGAAGUAACGUAUUUCUUCAAUCAAUGAAGACUUACCCUCUAAGUGUGAAUACAUUAAUGUGGAAUUUGACUUCGGAGCGCCACGAUAAUUGUGCGUCGUGUCUAGGUCUAAUACUUCCUAUACGGUGGGUAAUGCCACAGCCACAACUUCUCGAAGAUUUUCAUUUGGCGUCAUGAGUGCAUUAUCUUCACUUUUGGAUUGUCUUCAAUAUUGGUUUAUCUUCAAAAUCUAUAUCUUAGCAAUGUUGAUUUGUCUUCAAUGAUAAUUAUAUAUAUCUUCAUACGUGUUCUGUCCUCUACAGCAUUCACUUAUAGCUAUGUCUUCAUGUUGCUUUUUUCUGACCAAAUGAAUGUGAUCGGACUCUAAUCCCUUCUGUGCUACUUCCUCAAAUUCUUUCUGUCUAAGUCAUGUGCAUUCUGUUGACACUUGUCAAAUAUCUUCUCGAUGUCCAUGUCAGCAGAAGAUACAGAGACACACUUUUAAAACUGCUUUUAGUGUCUUAUCCUUUGCCUGAAAAAUGGAGAAGCCGGAACGACCACCCAACAAUCCAGACGUGCGUGGGAACAUAGAUCAACUCCUGAUAAGUUGCAUGCACGCCAUGUGUCCUACAGAUGUGAACCUCCAGGGGCACCUGCGUAAUUGCACUACGCCGCCCUCCUCCUUCCUAUAAAUGCACACCCCUCGCGGUCAAUAUCUUUUCUUCCACCUCGACACCUCGCUCAAACCCUAGCGCCACCGCGAGCUCGCGUUGACGCCGGAGACGAAGCGCUUAGCUGCCGCGACUUCUUCGACGCCAUCCUCACGCCGGCCGCGGACCUCUUCUCUCUGCUGCUGCCGUAGGUGUCUUCCGCCGCCAAGUUAGGGCACGGGAGAUUGGACUGCUCGGACUCCCUUCUACAUCGUCUAGCAGUUCAUCUAUGGUAAUUAAAACUCACUUUUUAUAGUCUUUUCGAUCUGUCAAAUCCAUCCACUUCAACCAAAAGUGGUUUGUACACUUCCAAAUCUGGAUCUGUCUCUUUCUAAAUCUCAUAUAUUGCAAAGUAUAUUCACUUAUGCGUCAAAACUAGUUAGAUUCCUCACUUGUACCUAUUCGUGGAUUCUUACAAAUCUGGAACCAACUUCCUUCAAUAAGUGAAUGUCUUUGCACUGCGAGGUACAUGUCUGUGGGAGAAUCCCUUGGUUCUCAUGGUCUGCAUUCAUUUGCAGAAUUCUUGCAGUGUCACAUCGAAUCUCCUGAAGCCAGUUCUUUUCUAACCAGCAGACGGAAGCCUUUCACUGUAUUGAAGCCAAUCAGUCUGAACAUUAUGGAUUCAGAGAAGUCUGCACGAAAAGGAGGCAGGCAACACCGUGGCAACACUGUGGUUGAUUUGCCUGAAGAUCUUUAUGAACUCUACAAGUCUGACCAUGAAGAGAGCUACAACCAGUGCAAAAACCCGAUCCAGUGGAUCCGAAGAUAUUGUGCAGGGCAAUGGUUCAAGUACAGGUUUGUAACACCUGAAUAUGCUGAGAAAAAUGCCAUCAAGCACCCUUGGGGUGAUUGUCUGUACCGCAACUUGGUACCGAAGACUAAGGCUGAAGCUAUUGAACAGGAGUUCUAUCCCUGUAUGGUCAGAGGACCACAGCCUGAGAAUGCCGACCCAUCAUCUCUUCUAUGGUGUCGUGAAGACAAUCUCUUCAAGCGCAACUUUCAGUUUGCAAGAGAUUCAGCUGUUAAGAACUAGAAGGAGUUUGGCCUCAACUUCAACCCUUCCCCUCUGCUCCCAGGUCAGAUGGAACUCGUGAAGCCAAUGAAAAUAGGAUUGGCCCCUUCGCCAACUUCAAUGUGCUUCUGUCUCAUAUUGCUGCCUAGAGAGCUGUUGUGGAGCAAUCUGCUGAAGAAGCAGAUUCUGAUAAUGCUCCAUCACCACCAAAGCAGCAGAAGAAGAAGAAGGCAAAAGCUUCAAAGCCAUCUGCCCCUGCUGCUCCAAAAGCUUCAACCAAGAAGUCACUAAAAUCUGCAGCUCCUGAAUCCAAUGUGUAGUCUGAAGAUUUGUCUCGUGUGUCCAAGAGGACCAACAAGCCAUUGCCCAAGAAGGCUACUGGGCAACCCCUCACUCCUACUGCCGUUCUCCGCAACGAGGAAGACACCAUUGAUCUGUCAAGCGAUGAAGAUCUUUGUGAUGAAGCUCUAGAGAUGUUGAUCAAGAGCAAGCAAGAGGCGGAGAUCUUCAGUGAUCUGCCCCUCUUUGGUGUUGACAUCUUGAAUAACUUCAUUGAUGAGUGGUUCGACGACCAAAACAUCAGCAUUGACAGUCUGCAGCUGCCAGUGGGCAUCAGCGUCACAUUCCAUGGAGCCAUUGAAGAUGAGCUUGCCCUGGCACUGAGCAUCAUCAAGCUCAAAAAUAAGAUUGAUUAUGAGAAGGCUCAUUUCAAGAAGAACAUGCACAAGCUCGGUGUGACAGAUGUGCAAAUCUUAAAGAAGAUGUUGCAUGAUGUCUACUACACAACCUUCUUCUUGUAGACGUUGUUGGGCCUCCAAGUGCAGAGGUUUGUAGGACAGUAGCAAAUUUCCCUCAAGUGGAUGACCUAAGGUUUAUCAAUCCGUGGGAGGCAUAGGAUGAAGAUGGUCCCUCACAAACAACCCCGCAACCAAAUAACAAAGAGUCUCUUGUGUCCCCAACACACCCAAUACAAUGGUGAAUUGUAUAGGUGUACUAGUUCGGCGAAGAGAUGGUGAUCCAAGUGCAAUGCGGAUAGUAGAUAUAGGUUUUUGUAAUCUGAAAUUAUAAAAACAGCAAGGUAACUAAUGAUAAAAGUGAGCAAAAACGGUAUUCCAAUGCUUCGAAACAAGGCCUAGGGUUCAUACUUUCACUAGUGCAAGUUCUCUCAACAAUAAUAACAUAAUUGGAUCAUAUUGUAAGUGCAUCUAGUGCCACCCCUAGUUGGUUUUGGAGUAUUGACGACAAAGUUGGUUGAGGGACUAAUGCGUUUGUAAGAAUUGCAGGAUAACGCAGGUAGUGUCCCUCAUUGAUUCGUUUUACCUACCGGAGAUGACCCCUAAAAAUGUAUGAAGACAUUGAAGACAAUGGUGGUAUGAGAAGAUAUUCACAUUGAAGACUAUGACAUGAGAAGACAUUGCGUGAAGACUUUGGAGCGCGAAGACUGUGUGGUUUCGUUGUUUCCUUUUCUUCUUUGUUGAGUCAUAGGAACCACCAUACUGUUAAGUGGGGUCCAAGUGAACUAAGUCAGAGUGACUGAAGUGAUGCUCAACCCAAAUCCUAUGUCUUCGAGCGAAGACAAUGAGAGCAAAUCUUAUCCAGAGCUGGAUGAGUCAGCUUUGCUUGUAGCCCAAGUAAAGUUGCCGCGUGUGUUUGAAAUCUGACCGUUGGAACACGUGUCAGUUCCUUAGUGACCUAGGGUCAUUUUGGACAAAUCAGGUCGGGUUGCCUAGUGGCUAUAAAUAGCCCACCCCCUACACCAUAAAUUGGUGGCUGCUCAGAGUUUGUGCACGGCUUUUGUCGUUUGAGAGCAACCCACCUCGAAGCAUUUGAGAGAGAGAGAAAUCCUUGCAAGGACAAAGCCCAAACACCCAGAGCCAGAGAGUGUUAGGCAUCACUGAAGUCUUUCUGUCUGUGUGACCUGAAGACUUAUUACACUUGAGGACUGUGAAUCCUCCAGCCGUUUAGGCGUCACGUUCUGAGCAUCCAAGAGUCAUUGUGGAUUGCCGGUGAACGAAGUCUGUGAAGGAAGUCUCCCUUGAAAACUUACCAGAGUGAUUGGGCGAGGACUGGGUGUCCUUAGCUCAAGGGGAAUAAGGUGAAGACACGGUCUUCUGAGUUAAAUCUCAGCCUCCCUAACCAGACGUACAGUUGUCACAGCAACUGGAACUGGUCCAACAAAUCAUGUGUCUUCAACAAGCAACUGGUUCUAUCCCUUCCAACCUUACUUCAGUUUGUCUUCAUGAAGUCAUUGCUUAUCUGCUUAUCUGUUUGACUUCAUUGCUUGACUACUAUUGUUUAUUGGCUUCAGACUGUCUUCCAUCCUGAUCCUUACUACCUUACUGCUAUUAGUCAUGUACUUUCACAUCAUUAUAUACUUGACUAUGGCUUGUUCAGGGUAGUUUAUCUUCCGCUGCAUAUCAAUUAGGUUGUUUCUGUUGUUUGUCUUCGAAACCUACAAGUUUUGAAGACUUUCAUAAAAAUCGCCUAUUCACCCCCCUCUAGUCGAUACUAGCACUUUCAAUUGGUAUCAGAGCGAGGUACUCCCUUGUUCUGUGUGAUUCGGUUUAACCAGCUGGAGUUUCAGCUAUGUCGACUGCAGGGAUAAUCAAGGUCUCCGCUGCUUGCCCCGUGUUCGAUGGAACUGAAUAUCCCUACUGGAAGAAUAAGAUGCGCAUGCAUCUUGAAGCCAUUGAUGUCGACCUCUGGUAUGUCGUCAAGAAUGGCGUUCCCAAGACUGGUGAAGGUGUCACCCCCACUAAUGUCAAGAAGUUUGUUCAACUGGACUCUACUGCGAAGAACAUCAUCUGUGGUCAUCUGACCAAAGGACAGUAUGGUCGUGUGAGUGCUCUGGAAACGUCGAAGCUAGUCUGGGACUGGCUAUCCAAGGUCAAUGAAGGUGUUUCAACCCAGAGAGAUCAAAGAAUCAGUGUUCCCCACAACCUCUUCAACCGCUUCAAGAUAAACGACAAUGAGAAUGUCCAGCUCACGUUUGAUCGCCUCACUGAUAUCACAAAUGAACUUCAAGCUCUUGGCGCAACUGAAAUUACCAAGCAUGAAAUCGUCUAGACACUGCUAAGAUCACUUGACAGCUCCUUUGACACCCUUGCCCUCAUGAUACAAGAACGUCCUGACUUUAAGACACUCGAUCCGUCUGAUAUACUUGAGAGGCUCAACACACAUGAGUUCCAGCUAUCUGAGAAAAGAGAUAUCUAUGGUCCAAGCUAUGGCCAAACUCGUGCUUUGAAGGCGAAAGUUGUUUCCUCAUCUGAAGAAGAAUCUAACUGCAGUUCUGAAGAUCCUGAAGACAUUGGAAGGGAACUUGCUAUGCUUGUGAAGAAGUUCUAGAAAUUCACGAAGAAGAAAGGCUUCAGAAAGUCUUCACGAUCUAGCUCAAGGAAUGAUGAAGCUUCCACACAUGAUCACAAGAAGAGAACCUGCCACAAGUGCAAGAAACCUGGUCACUACAUAUCUGAGUGUCCACAGUGGGACAAUGAGAAGAAGAAGAAGAAAAGCAAGGAAUAUGAUUCUGAUGACAAGAAGAAGAAGAAAUCCUCAAAGUCUUCUAAGUUUUCUUCCAAGUCUUCAUCAUAUAAGAAGAGCUUAUCUGGCAAGGCUCGUGCUUUUGUUGGCAAGGAAAUGGAUUCAGAGGAGGAGUCUGCUUCUGAGGAGGCGGAGGUGGAGUCUGGAGAGGAGUCUGGAGAGGAGUCUGACCCUGGUGUUGCAAGUCUGGCCCUAGCCACAGCCUAUGUUGCCAAGUCCAUCUUCAACACUGAAGACAAUGACUUCCACACCAACGCUGAAGCUAAUGACGAAGACGAUCCUACUCCCACCUACUGCUUCAUGGCACGUGGUGCCACAGUAAAAUCACGCGAUGCUUACUUUCAAACUUCAAGUGAAGAUGACUCUGAUUGUGAAUCCAAACCCAGCUAGAAAACACUUGCUAAAAUUGCAACUGAACAACAAAAGGCUAUGGAACAUACUCAAAAACUGUUAGACAAAAGCGAUGACCUAUUGGACGCUGAAAUGACACAUUCACAGUCCUUAGUUGAUGACAUAAAAAGUCUUCAUGCUAAGUACCAAGAACUUGAAGGUCGUCAUGAAUCACUCUCAACUACUUAUGAAAAGCUCUCCUAUGAUUAUCUUCAAAGGAAACAAGAGCUUGAGAAAUUGAGAGCGGCUCAUGAAGAUCUUCAAAAGGUGAAUGAGUCACUUCGCGCCCAACAGAUCAGUUCCGCUCAGGAAGGAUUUGAACCACCAUGUCUAAAAUGCAUUGAGCGUGAUAAUGCUACAUCUGUUGCUGAAUGUUCCACUGUUGCUACUGUUUCAUUGUCUUCACCUACUGAUGUGGUCACUAACCCCUCUGUGGAGGAUACCACUGCUGUUGCUGAUGAAAAUGCUAUGUUGAAGACAUUGCUUGAAACAGGGAUGUACAAAAGUUUGAAGGGACAUCAGACUCUCUGCGAUGUCCUCAAAAAGCAGAUUCUGAACCGAAACCCUAGGAAAGAGGGUGUUGGGUUCGAGAGGAAAAUGAAUGUUGAUGGCUCGUACUGGAAGCCUGAGCAGUACCCCAAAACCACAUGGGUUGCUGGAAAGGAACCUUUAGUGGAUCCAUCUACCUUAUCUGGCUUUACCUGUGCUAAUCCUAUUAUCAUUGAUGAAUCCUUUGAUGCAAACUAUAAGCUGUUCAAAAAUCAGAAUGGUGAAGUGUUUGACAAGUACAUUGGUACUAACUGCAGGAAUGGACCACCUAUGAAGAAGAUCUGGGUACCUAAGCGGUACAUUGAGAAUCUUCCUGUGAAUGUCGUCAUGACACCACCUAGGAAGAAGAAAAACCCCAGACCUAUACCUUCAUAUGGCCCAAAGGCUUCAUACAGAUACAGGACUCACAUGAGUCACCCUAACGCCAAUGUUUUGCAGAGAAAUCAUACUCAGACUUAUGAAUAUGAGCGUGUAUCUUUGAACCGCUAUGUUCAUAGGACUAAGAACUUUUCUGCUUAUUUAUAUGAGUAUCAUUCAUCUCCUGCAAGGCUAUUUGCUAGGGCUUCAAAGCCAAAAUUCUCAGAUGCUGCACUUAGACUCAUUGCUUCUAAGCCCCCACUGAAAAUGUGGGUGGCAAAGAAGAACUAACUCUCUUUUGCAGAAAAUGGUCUCCAGCCAGCAAUCAAUGGCGUCUGAUACUAUUGCUGGGGACCUAAAACUUACUAAGGACGCACAAUGAAAUGUCAUUCUAUAUACUUCAUCUGAAUUUCUUAUCAGUCAUACUAUGUCCUAACCUUGAUAUAAGCUGUGAAUAUCCCUAUAUGUAUCAAAUACAUAUGCUUCACAACACUUGUGUGAAGCCUAUCCUCCUAACUGCACUGUAGGGUACAUCACCAAAAGCUUCAGAAUGGAUUAUGGACAGUGGAUGGACAAAUCAUAUGACUGGUGAUCGAAGUCUUCUCAUGGACUCAACCUUACGUCCAUCCGACAAGAGUCACAUCACAUUUGCUGACACUGGUAAAAGCAAAGUAUUGGGUCUAGGUAGAGUUGCAAUCUCAAAGGAUCAACACAUGGAUAAAGUGAUGCUUGUUGAAUCCCUUGGUUUCAACUUAAUGUCUGUCUCAAUGCUUUGCGACUUGAACAUGAUUGUGAUAUUUGGCAAAUAUCGUUGCCUUGUACUAAUGGAAUCUGACAAAUCUCUAGUCUUUGAAGGGUAUCGAAAAGAUGAUCUGUACAUGGUAGAUUUCUCAGCAGGUCCACAGCUUGCUGUAUGUCUUCUCACAAAGCUUCAGAAUGCUGGCUCUGGCAUCGAAGGCUGGGACAUGCUGGCAUGAGGAACUUACACUCACUCGUCAAGAAGAAGCAUGUCAUAGGCAUCGAAGAUGUCAAGUUCAAGAAGGAUCAUCUGUGUGGUGCCUGUGAAGCUGGAAAGAUGACAAGGGCAAAGCACCCCUCGAAGACAAUCAUGACAACAUCUCAACCCUUUGAGCUGUUACACAUGGACUUAUUUGGACCUACUCACUGCUCCACCCUCACAACAACUGCCUGUCUCUAUGGCUUCGUCAUUGUUGAUGACUACUCAAGAUACACAUGGGUUCAUAUAAUUCUGUACAAUAUUGAAGUGCAAGAUGUCUUCAGACGCUUUGCAAAUCGAGCAAUGAACAAUUAUGGUGUGAAGAUCAAACAUAUCAGAAGUGACAAUGGCACUGAAUUCAAGAACACUGGACUUGAUCUGUAUCUGGAUACAAUGGGAAUCGCUCAUGAGUUCUCUGCUCCAUACACACCUCAGCAAAACGGCAUUGUGGAGCGCAAAAACAGAAUCCUCAUUGAGAUGGCUCGAACUAUGCUAGAUGAGUACAAGACACCAAGAAAGUUCUGGCCUGAAGCUAUUGAUACAGCAUGUCACAUCAUCAACCGUGUAUACAUCCAUAAGCUUCUGAACAAAACAUCAUAUGAGCUGCUUACUGGCAAGAAGCCAAACGUCAGUUACUUCAGAGUAUUUGGAGCGAGAUGCUGGAUAAAGGAUCCCCAUCACAAAUCAAAAUUUGCACCUAAGGCUCAUGAAGGCUUCAUGCUUGGCUAUGGAAAGGAUUCACACUCAUACAGAGUCUUCAACCUUUAUCUAUACAAAAUCGUUGAAACUGUGGAUGUGAAAUUUGAUGAAACCAAUGGUUCAUAGAGAGAGAUUAUGCCAAGCACACUGGAUGAAGCCCCUUCAAACGAGGCAAUCAAGCUGAUGGGAACUGGUGAAAUCAUGCCCUAUGAAGCACAACCUGAAGAGGAACUUAUCAUCUCUGCACCAAAUCAACCUGAAGACAAUGCUUAGUCCGAAGACAAUCCUCCCAAUGAUGACAGUGACCAGCCACAGCAAAAUCUUCGUCCUGUUCAUCCUCGUGUUGCAAAUGAAGUUCAAAUAGAGAAGAUAACUGACAGCAUCAAUGCACCUGGUCCGCUCACUCGAUCAAAAGCAACACAGCUAGCAAACUUCUGUGGGCACUUUUCAUUUGUGUCAAUAUCAGAACCCAAGAAAGUUGCUGAAGCUUUUAUGGAACCUGAAUGGAUUCAAGCCAUGCAAGAAGAACUUCAACAGUUCAAACUGAAUAAUGUCUGGGAACUUGUCAAGCGACCUGAUCCACGCAAGCAUAACAUUAUUGGAACAAAAUGGAUAUAUCAAAACAAGCAAGAUGAGCAUGGUCAAGUCGUCAGAAACAAAGCACGUCUUGUGGCUCAAGGAUACACUCAAGUUGAAGGAAUUGACUUCGAUGAAACAUUUGCUCCUGUUGCUAGGCUUGAAGAUAUUCGCAUACUACUAGCCUACGCUAAUCAUCACAAUAUCUUGCUAUAUCAAAUGGAUGUAAAGAGUGCAUUUCUCAAUGGCAAGAUUGAAGAAGAAGUGUAUGUCGCACAACCACCUGGCUUUGAAGAUCCAAAACAUCCUAAUAUGGUGUACAAGCUAAACAAGGCACUGUAUGGCCUCAAACAAGCCCCUCGUGCCUGGUAUGAUACAAUCAAAGACUUCCUGAAGAGCAAAGGCUUCAAACCCGGAUCCCUCGAUCCCACUCUCUUCACGAAGACAUAUGAUGGUGAACUAUUUGUGUGCCAAAUAUAUGUGGAUGACAUAAUCUUCGGCUGCACCAACCAGAAGUACAGUGAUGAGUUUGGGUACAUGAUGCAAGAGCAAUAUCAAAUGUCCAUGAUGGGUGAGCUGAAGUUCUUCCUUGGUCUUCAAAUUCGUCAGCAGAGGAAUGGCAUCUUCAUAUCUCAAGAGAAAUACCUCAAAGAUUGCGUGAAGAAGUUUGGAAUGGAAGACUGCAAAGGCUACACGACGCCAAUGCCAGCCAAACACCAUCUUGGUCCCGACGACAAUGGUAAAGAGUUCGAUCAAAAGGUAUAUCGCUCCAUGAUUGGUUCUUUGCUUUAUUUAUGUGCAUCUAGGCCAGAUAUUAUGCUUAGUGUUUGCAUGUGUGCACGAUACCAAGCAGCACCAAAGGAAUCGCAUCACUUAGCUGUGAAGCGAAUUCUUCGAUAUUUGGCUUACACCCCAACACUCGGAUUAUGGUAUCCCAAGGGCUCAAGAUUCGAUUUGGUUGGAUUCUCGGAUGCUGAUUAUGCUGGUGACAAGGUGGAUCGCAAGUCUACAUCUGGCACAUGUCAUUUUCUUGGUCGAUCACUUGUCUAUUGGUCUUCGAAGAAGUAGAACUGUGUAUCACUCUCAACUGCUGAAUCUGAAUACAUUGCUGCUGGAUCCUAUUGUGCUCAGCUUCUAUGGAUGAAGCAAACUCUCAAGGAUUAUGGCAUCAACCUGAAACAAGUACCUCUCUUCUGUGACAACGAGAGUGCCAUCAAAAUAGCCAACAAUCCAGUCCAACACUCGAAGACAAAGCACAUUGAAAUUCGUCAUCACUUUCUCAGAGAUCAUGUUAUGAAGAAAGACAUCGAUAUCAUUCACGUCAGCACUGAAGAGCAAUUGGUAGAUAUCUUCACAAAGCCCUUGGAUGAGAAAAGGUUUUGCAAGUUACGGUGUGAGAUAAAUAUCUUAGAAUCCUCUAAUGUCCUGUGAUCAGGCACACAUCCUAACACUUAUGCAUGUUGAUGACUUAGAUGUGCAACACACAAAGUAAGGUAUAUCUUCAAUCAAUGAAGAUUUACACUCUGAGUCUGAACAUAUUAACAUGGAAUUUGACUUCGGAGCGCCACGAUAAUUGUGCGCCGUGUCUGGGUCUAAUACUUCCUAUACGGUGGGUAACGCCACCACCAACUUUUCUUGUUUGAAGUGUUUCACUCAAGGCGUUAUAUUGCAAUGACUUCGCAUUUGGUUUGUCUUCAGUUUCAAUUUGUCUUCACAACUUUCUGCACUAUGAUGAUUUGAUUGCUUUCUGAUAUAUAGAUACUAGUGUACUGUCCUCUACAGCAUUCACUUAUAGCUAUGUCUUCAAGAUUGGAUCUUUUGAACUAAGUGAAUGUGAUCGGACCCUAACCUCUCUAUGCUUUCUAUCUCAAAAUCUAUCUGUCCAAAUCAUAUGCAUUCUAUUGAAACUGUCGAAUGUCUUCUCUGCGUCCUAGUCAGCAGAAGGCAAAGAGACAAACAUUAAAUCUGUUUUAAUGGCUUAUCUUUACUGUUGAAAUCUGGAGAAGCCGGAACAACUCUCCGACAUGCCUGGCGGGCGUGGGAACGUGGGACAACCCUGAGUGUGUUGCAUGCUUGCCACGUGCCCCUCAGAAGUGAACCGCCAGGGGCACUAGCGUAAUUGCGCUGUGUCUCUCACCUACUUAUAAAUACCUGUCCCCGUGCGGUAAAGAAAUACUUCUUCCACCUCUCCACCUUCGUCAAAACCCUAGCGCCACCGCUAGCUCGCGACGACGCCGGUGACGAAGCACUUAGCUGCCGUGACUUCUCCGACGUCGUCCUCACGCCGGCCGCGGACAUUGUCCUCUCCGCCGUCGCCGUAGGUGUCCUCCGUCGCCAAGUUAGGGCACGGUGGGCUGAACUGCUCGGUCUCCUAUUCUUCUCCAUCUAGCAGUUCUUCGUGCGGUAAUUAUAACUCUGUUUUUACCACCUUUUUGAUCUUCAAAGAUUCAUCCUACUUACUGAAAGUAGUUUCUGUCUAUUCAAAGCUAGAUCUAUUCCGUCUGCAUCUCAUACUGCUUAGUCGAUUCACUGAGAUCUCUUCUAGUUUGAUUCCUCACUUGUACUUAUUCACGGAUUGGUACAAAUCUGGAACCAACUCACCUAUAUAAGUGAAUGUCUUCGCAACAUGAGGUCAAUGUCUUCAACUGAUUUUUUCUUCAAAAUCUUCUGAGAAUGCAUAUGACCUCUUCCCCUUCCCUCGCAUCUCUAAUGCUGUCACAGGUACAUGUCUGUGGGAGAAUCCCUUGGUUCUCAUAGUCUGCAUUCAUUUGCAGAAUAUUUGCAGCAUCAUAUAAAUUCUCCUGAAGCCAGUUCCUGCUUGACCAUCAAGCACAAAUCUCUGAAGCCUUUGAACGUAUUGAAGCCUUUCAGCUUAAAAUUCAUGGCAACAGAAAAAUCAGCAAGGAAGGGUGGCAGACAGCACAGAGAAGGUACAUCUAAGGAUCUGCCUGAUGAUUUAGCAAAACUGUACAAGACAGAUCCGGAGGAGAACUAUCAUCAUAGGAAGACGCGAAUCCAAUGGAUUCGACACUAUUGGGCUGAGGAGUGGUUCAAGUACAAGUUUGUCACAAAGGAAUAUGCAGAGAAGAAUGCCAUCAAGAGACCUUGGGGUGAUAUCCUCUAUCGAGGCCUUCAACCCAAGAGCCGAGCUGAAGCCAUUGAACAAGGCUUCUACCCUUGCAUGGUCCGUGGGCCACAGCCAGCGAACGCAGAUCCCACCUCACUCCUAUGGUGUCGUGACGAUUCGCUCUUCAAGCGCAACUAUCAGUUUACUGUGGCUUCGGCCAAGAAGCACAAGAAGGCCUUGGGUUUGGACUUCAACCCAGGUCCCUCUGCUCCCCGUGCUAAAGGCUCUCGUGAAGCCAAUCCCAAUGUCAUUGGCCCCUACGCCAACCUUGACGGCCUCAUCACCUACAUCAUGGUCCAAGGCGCCAGAGUUGAUCAUUCUGACAAUGGUGCUGAUCCUGAUGAAGCCCCUGCUCCUCCUCCUCCAAAGCCGCACAAGCAAAAGAAGUCUAAGGCUUCAACCUCAGCUGCACCUCCGAAGACUUUGCGUGCGAAGCCACUGGCCACUGCACCUCCUGAAGCCAGUGUGCAAUCUGAAGAUCUGUCCCGUGUCUCCAAGAGAACGGAGAAGAAGAAACAGCUUGUUAGACCAACUGAUCAACGAGCCUUAACUCCUACCACAAUUCUGCAUGACGAACCCAUUGAUCUAUCAAGUGAUGAAGAUCUUGCUGAUGAUGCUCUUGAGCAGCUGAUAAAGAGCAAGGAAGAAGCAGAAAUCUUCAGCAACCUGCCUCUCUUCCAUGUUGCCAUCAUCCACAACUUCAUUGAUGAAUGGUUCGACACCCCCAACAUCAGCUCUGAGGAUUUACAGCUCCCCAUUGGUCUCAGUGUCUCCUUCAAUGGAGCCAUUGCUUCUGAGCUAGCUCUCGCUCAGCGCAUCGUUGAGCUCAAAACAAGAUUGAUUUUGAGAAGGCUCAAUUUAAGAAGCAUGUGGCCAAUCUGAGUGUUCAAGACGUCCGCAACUUCAAGGUCAUGCUCCAUGAGCUCAAAGAAGCUUUUCUGAAGAAACGCCAAGAGGCUCAGGGCUCACGUGAGCGCAUGAAGCUUUUGGCUGACAAGUGUGUGCUUGCCUACAAUGAGGCUGAGAAGCGCAAGUCCCUUGGCCGUCCAGGCAUUGACCCCAGGAUGGCUACAAAGAGGAAGAAGAAGCACCCUGCUGAACAGCCUGAGCCUUCAAGCCAAGAAGCCCCUCGCAUUAUCUUCCCGAGCAGCAUGAUUGGCUCGAAGCCAAAGGUCACCACCACAGCUUCAGAACAGAAGAAGACAAAGGCUGCCGAGGCUGAUGCGAGAAAGAGAAAGAAUACUGAAGCUUCUGAUGCCGCCCCGUCCAAGAAGAAGCGCAAGACCAAGAAGACUAGGGCUGCUUCCACAGAGCCCUUAGUCGUUGAACCCAUUUCCGUGGUUCGCCCUGUGUCUGUUCAUCAAGAACGAAGAUUGGUUGUCCAUGAGCCUGCUACCACAGAGGCUCAUGAGUCUGAAGAUAUUCCAGCAGCUGAACCCAACGCUGCUGUAGACAUUGGUCAAGAUGACAAUGUAAAUGAUGAUGAAGUUCUUCCUCAGAUCGAACAUUAAGUGGUAUCAUCGUCUGUUCGUACGAACAGCGAAAUCAUCAGCAUUGGUCGUCCAUUGACGCCAAUUGCUUAGGAUGCUUCGUGGGCUGAUCACCCACAACACCACCAAGACUCCCCCAGUACUCCCCAACAACAACAACAAGCAACACCCCCAGUGCAAGAAGAGGCUGAAGACUUUCAGGCUUAGCCAAGUCCAUCUCCCAACUUGAAGCCAGCACUUCGCAGGCUUCGCAGAGGACAAAGGCCUGAAGUCCCUCUGUCGAGCGUUCCUGAAGGAGAAGUGCAACGUUCACCAGUUGCACGGCCAGUAUUCUCUGAACCAGCUCCAACAGUGAAUGUCUCCAUGUCUGAAGCACAUACUGCUGAAGACAUUCCGGUUGCAUCAGCCAAAGAAAAAGAAGAAGUUCGUGUACCAACUCCCCCAGCGAUUGAAGAUGAAGCAGUUCCCGAUGUGAACGUGCAUGUGCCCGACCCUCCUGCUCCUCAAGAGGAGGUUGACAAUGUUGAGGCUGCCACCACCAACACCAAUGAAGCCAGUGACGUAGUCAUGGCUGAUGCCAUUGUGGAGCCUGCACCAACCAGUGUGCCUGAAACCAAUGAGGCCCCUGUGCCUGAAGCAAAUUUGGCCACUGAGUCUGAAACCAAUGAGGAUGUUGCCCCUAAAGUCAAUCAGAAUGCUGCACCUGACGCAAAUGAGACUGCUGCACCUGACGCCAAUGAGGAUGCUGCACCCGAAGCCAACACGACAACUGCUCCUGAAGCACCUGUUGUGCAGCCUGACUCCUCUGAUGUUGCCCCUGCUCCUAUUCCGCCACCAAGGCCUCACACUAUUGAGCAAGCAUACGAUCACGGUCAGCUUGUCACUGUCCGAUGGCCCGUUCUGGUGCCUCCGCCUUCUGCCUCAGGACCCCAAUUUGACUAUCAUGUUGAGCAUCGGCCUCAUGUCCAGAAGCCAAAGCCCAAGUUGCCAAGGUUUCCAGGUACUGCCAACUCCCCCGGGUCCUUCAAUGCCAAUGGCUUCAAAAGCCACAAUACCUUCUUUGACAGCGCCAAGAACCCAUACUCCAAGCCAAGAAUUUCAUCAGAUCAGUUCUGGAGCUAUCAGCAGAGAAGCUAUUACUCAUGCGUGCUAUAUGAUCAAGGGCGCAUUUUCCCUCAUAUGCGUCUUGACACUGAAGCUAUUGCUAGACUGCCGUGCUUGGAAGAAGCACUUGAUUGCUUUCGUGAUGCUGGUCUGCUCCACUUUGUGACAGACAAGGAACAUUGGAAUGAAGAGCUAUUGCUUCAAUUCUAUGCCACUCUGCACAUUCGCGGCUACAACAGAGACAUCAAGACUUGGGUUCUCGAGUGGAUGACUGGAAAUGUUCAUCAUGAAGCCAAAGCUAUGGAUAUCAUCGAGCUUACUGGGCUAGCCACUCCUGGAGAACUAUGUGAGCCUCACUGUCAGCUACACCGCAAUGCUGUGGAGAGCAUCUUUCACAAGCCCGAACCCAAUAUGAGCCAGAUGCUGAGCAUGAUGAAGCCUUUGCCGUCUGACGCUGAGUAUCCCACCCAAUUUUUUGUUGAAGACCUUGAGUAUCUGCCUCGCACCAUAUAUCAUAUUAUCAGGCGAACUCUAUGGCCAGUCAAGGGACACUCAUCAUCGGCCAAGCUUGAAGGAGCUAUGAAGACAUUGGUCUUCUAUAUUCUCAAUGGCAUCAGCUUCAACAUUCAGGAAUUCUUCAUAAGGCAACUUGCUGCUUCCGGCUCUGACCUAUUUGGUCUGAAGUUUUAUGCUCCAUGGGUCAUGCGCCUCAUCAAGCGACACUCAUGUGUCAAUUAUCAGCCCUCUGCUCGCAAUCACAUAAUAUUUCUGCCCGAGGUUGAUAUGUCAGUUGAUGCUGUAUACUCUAACCCUGCCAAGACACCACUUUGUCUUCAGAACAUCGAGCACCAAAGCUUCACUCAGCCUAUUGAAGGUGUUCAAGCAGCAACAAGAUUCUAUCCACUUGCUGGUAACACCCGUCUGCCUCACAGAGUGCCAACUGAAGCCACUGAAAGCACCAUUGCGCAAAGGCCUCGGAAGCGUUCUCGUGUUCUCAAUGACCGAGAGCUUCUUAUGGCUCUUCAUCAGAAGCAAGAUAAGCAUCAUUUCUGGCUCAAGCGCCAAAUGCAAAGCCUCUUGGUGGAUGUCAAUCGCAUUCGCAACCUUGCCACUAAGAAUGCCUUUGUUGCUCAUGAAACUUGCCGAAGAUCAUGGAAGAGUUUGACUCUGCUCAGUGCUGAAGCUGAUCUUCAAGAUGAUGGCUUCAAUGAAAGAUUCCAGUUCGACUCCACUCCUCCAAGGACUGCUACCCUGCGUCGAACUCCAUCUCUUGAAGACUCUGAAUAUUCCUCUUCCGCGGCAAUAGUUAAUGCCCGCGCAAGAUCAAGAAUCAAUGGUGGUUGAUCUUUCUGCUCAGCCCAGUUCUGCUACGGAUCUGGUUCAGCCUGUUAUUGUCGUGGAUGAUCUGCCUGACGACCCUGCUCUACCUUUGGUUAAUGAGGAUGCUGUUAACAACUGGGCCAUUGUUCUCUAUCAGCCUCCUGCUUUCAGGGAGGAGAUUGUUCUGCCUGCGGUUCCUUUUGGGCCUCCUCUGCCUCCGGAUAUGAUCUGGAGGAGAUCAUUUGAGAAGCUUUUGCAGGCUCCUGUGGCGUUCUCAGUUCCAAGGCCAGUUCUGCUGCAACCUCUUUCACCGGUUAUUCUGUCUAAGCGGAGUUGGGAUAUGGCUUUCAGUGAGAAUGAUCUGCCAUGUCUUACAUGGAGGGAUCAAGAGCAAGCAAGGCCGGUUGCCAGGGCGCUUUUUUCUAAUAAUUUUGAUGUUCAACCAGUGCAGGUUCCACCCCCUCCUGCUGCGGUGGUUAAAGCUCGCAGGCCACGCAAAACCUUGGCGCCAACUCCAAUAGUUCACACCGCAGUACGGCGCUGCACUAGAAGCUCAAUUCAGUGUGAUGGUUUCAAGCCCACCUUCCAGGAGCUCGCCCUGCAGCCCAAGAGAAAGAAGCCCAAGGCUAAGCCCUUCACGGCCCAGAUGCAUGAUGACCCUGCUUCUGAAGGAAUUCCACCUGCAACUCCUGUCAGUCGACUCCAAGAAGUUGGUCGUCAGCUAGAAAUUGACGCUGCUCUAUUAUCUGAGGAUGCACUUAUGGUGGAUCCAACUGCUGCUGCCUCGCCUAAACAUGAUGAUUAGUUUAAUCAUGCUCUUUUGGGUUUCGCAAGCCCUUAAAUAUGCUUUAUCUUUGUCUGUAGGCAGUAUGCUGCUACUUGUUCUCUGGUGUGUGUUGAUGUUGGGUCAGACUGGUUUCUGUUUCUUUUGGACAUGUGGUAUUGCGUACCAUGUGGGUUAUGGACUUAAUCUUAUAUUGUAAUGAGUAACAUUUGUAGGAACUGGAAUGUUCUUUGCUGGAAUGUCAGAGGUCUCAAUUCUGAAACUAGACAGAGGGCUGUUAGGCAGAAAAUUGAUGAAAGCCAAUGCUCAAUCGCCUGCCUACAAGAAACCAAAUGUGCAUCUUUUGAUUAUAGAUCAAUUAAAUCUUUCUGCCCUAAAAGAUUUGACUCAUUUGUGUGUUCUCCCUCUAUUGGUGCUUCUGGAGGAAUUAUAGUGGUCUGGAAUUCUUCUGUUUUUAGUGGCAUUGUAAUUGAAGUACAUCAGUUUGCUGUAAUUGUUCAGUUCACUUCCAGGCAGAACAAUGAUUCUUGGACUCUUGUUGCAGUCUAUGGCCCUUGUAGGGGUGAAGCCAGGGACCAAUUUGUCAAUUGGUUAUACAACUUGACUAUUCCUCUCAAUGAGCACUGGUUGUUAUUUGGUGACUUUAAUUUCCUUCGGUCAGUGGAUAACAGAAACUUGCCUAGUGGGGACAUAAAUGACAUGUUCAUUUUUAAUGGAUUAUUGGCCACCUGGGCCUUCUUGAGCUUCCAAUCAAGGGCAGAUCUUACACAUGGUCUAAUAUGCAAGAUAUCCCACUUCUUGAGCAGCUAGAUUGGUUCUUUACUUCUGUGGAUUGGAUUUCUGAUUAUCCUAUGACUGAAGUUUUGCCCCUGGCCAGGACUGCCUCAGAUCAUGUGCCUUGUUUAGUCACCAUCAAGACUUCCAUUCCAAAAUCAAACCUCUUUAUGUUUGAAAAUUAUUGGAUUGAGCUUGAUGGCUUCAUGGACUGUGUUGAAUCUUCUUGGAAGCAACCCUCUCAGAAAGCACAUGUUACUGCUAGGAUUGCAGACAAACUUAAAAGCCUAAGAAUGUGCCUUAAAAGGUGGAAAAUGAAUGUUUCCAAACUGAGGUUGCUGAUCAGUAAAUGCAAUCAUGUUAUUUUCCUCUUAGAUGAAUUGGAAGAAUGGAGGCCUCUUUAUAUUCAGGAGAAUAACUUCAGAAAAAUUGUAAAAAAUCAUUUGGAAAAGCUCCUGCACCUGCAAUUUCUUUACUGGAAAAAGAGAUGCACCAUCAGAUACUUCAAGGUGGGAGGUGAGAACACCAAGUUCUUCCAUGCUAUGGCCACUGAGAGGCAUAGGAGGAACUCCAUAGCUAGUCUGAAGCUACCUGAUGGAUCUGUUGUCUCUGAUCACUCUCAAAUGGCUGGAAUUGUUUGGAGCUGUUUUAAGAAUAGAAUGGGCACUUCUAGAGGGAUUAAUAUGGGGUUUGAUCUGUCCUCACUUAUUUCACCAGUGGAUGGCCUUGAUGUGCUCACUAAGCCUUUUAUAAAAGAGGAGAUGGACAGUGUUGUCAAACAUAUGCCUGUUGAUAAGGCACCUGGACCUGAUGGUUUCAAUGGUUUGUUUUUUAAAAAAUGUUGGCAUCUUAUCUCUCAGGAUUUUUAUGAGCUAGCUCAGGCUUUUUAUGAUGGCACUGCUGUUUUAGAAAACAUUAACAGCUCCUAUAUCACUCUUGUGCCCAAGAAGUUAGCACCUGAAGAAAUAGGAGACUACAGGCCUAUCUCUCUUACUGGUAUGGGGAUUAAAUUUAUGUCAAAAAUGGCUGCAAAUAGAUUUCAAGAUGUGAUUAUGCAGUGCAUUCAUAAGAAUCAAUAUGGUUUCAUUGAGUCCAGAACAAUCCAGGAUUGCCUUGGGUGGACAUUUGAAUAUUUGCACCAAUGUCAUCAGUCUAAGAGGCCCAUUGUCAUUCUCAAAUUGGACUUUGAGAAGGCUUUUGACUCUGUUGAGCAUGAGGCUAUCUUCCAAAUCCUAAGGUUUAAGGGCUUGAAUGAUAAGUGGAUUCUUUGGAUGAAGCAGUUCCUGGCCUCUUGCACAUCAUCUGUUUUGCUUAAUGGGGUUCCUGGGAGGAAAUUUGUUUGCAAAAAAGGGGUUAGGAAGGAUGACCCUGUAUCCCCUCUGCUUUUUGUUAUUGCUGCAGAUCUGCUCCAAACAGUGAUCAAUGACAUGUUCAGAAGAGGAAUUCUUCACCUACCUAUACCUUGCCAUGAUGCAGAUUAUCCUGUGAUUCAAUAUGCUGAUGAUACAUUGAUCAUACUACCUGCUGACAGAGCCCAACUCCUGGCUUUGAAGGAUAUGUUAAAGGUUUUCUCUCAGUCGAUUGGUCUGGAUGUCAAUUACCAUAAGUCUUUUAUUAUCCCAAUCAAUGUUGAGUCUGCUGUCAUGGAAGAUUUGGCAACUGCUUUUGGUUGCAAAAUUGGAAAAAUGCCAUUUACAUACCUUGGAUUGCUUGUGGGGACCACAAGGCCCAAAAUGGUGGAUUUCAUGCCUUUGGUGGACUGUAUGGAAAGAAGAAUGACUGCCAGUUCUUCUUUCCUUAACCAAGGUGAAAGCUUGCAGUUCCUUAACUCUGCUCUUUCUUCAAUGCCAAUAUUCUUCCUGUGUAGCCUUGCUCUGCCAGCAGGUAUUCUCAAGCAGCUUGAAAGAAUUCAAAGACAGUGUCUGUGGAGAAAGCAUAGGGAUCAGCCAACACCUUCUCUUGCUGCUUGGAACCUAAUUUGCAGGCCAAAAAACAAAGGAGGACUAGGCAUUCUUAAUCUGGGAGUUCAGAAUGUGGCUCUCCUUCUCAAGCAUGUUAAUAACUUUCUGAAUAAACGAGAUAUCCCUUGGGUGUCCUUAGUCUGGAAUUCAUAUUAUUUCAAAAGAAUGCCCCAGGUAACAACUGAAUGUGGAUCCUUCUGGUGGAGAGAUAUCUGUAAAGUCAUGCCGCACUUCAGAGACUUCUCCUGGGUUCAAAUUAAUGAAGGGGACACUUCCCUUUUUUGGGCUGAUAAUUGGAACCUUGAUAACACAGCGUCUAGUCUGCAAACAAGAUUCCCAAGGCUCUACUCUUUUGCCAAGGAUCCCUGGAUCUCAGUUAAGGAAUCUUUCAAUACCCAGGAUAUGCAUCAACUCUUUCACCUACCCUUAUCUGCUCAGGCAUUUGAUGAGUUGAACCAGAUUUAGGAAUUGGUGAAUUCCCACAGCAGAGAAUCAAGUUUGACAGAUGUUUGGUUCUGCCAAGGAUCUACCAAGUUUUUCAAACCCAAGAUGUUCUACUCACACACUUUUGUGUCUGAAUCCUUCAAUCCUUUGCUAUGUGGGGUCUGGAAAUCCUCUUGUACCCUCAAGAUCAAGGUUUUUGCAUGGAUGCUUAUUAUGGACAGGUUGAACACCAAGGACAUGGUUGAGAGAAGGCACUGGCACAUGGAUGAUGGGGUCCAUUGUAGGCUUUGUCCCUUGCAGGUUAGAGAAACCAGAGAUCACAUGUUCUUCAACUGCAAUUUCAGUGUCAGGGUCUGGAAUUAUCUGCAGAUUGACUGGUCUACUGGAACCUCCAUGAUGCAGCAGGUUGCUCAGGCCAGAAGGAGUUUUGAUAAGCCCUUUUUCUCUGAAGUGGUUUUCAUUGCUUGCUGGAAUAUUUGGAUCAUCAGAAAUGCCAAAGUUUUCAGAAAUGAGAGAGCUAGUUUCAAUAAAUGGAGGUUUGCUUUUAAGCAUGAUAUUAGCCUGAUGCAGCACAGAAUCAAAUCUGUCUACAAGGAUGAUCUGCUUAGAUGGAUCUCUUUUCUCCCACCUUAAGCUAGUUUUUGUAAGCCCCACUUUUUCUUCUGUUACCUUGUACCCUGGUUACUCCUUGUAAUCACCCUGUUGUAUUACUUAUCCUCUUUUUCAAUAAAGUUUUGAUAUGCUGUGGGGGUUUUGCCCCACAGUUCCAGUAAAAAAAACAGUUAAUGCCAGAGUGAUCGAUGAUGAAGAUGACGCUACUUCACCACCUCCGACUACAACUGUGCGCAUCGACACUGCACCAAGUUCGUCUGCACCGCCAACCAACGACAACGACCCAACUGCUUCUCCUACUCAUGACGAGUAGAUGCUCUAUGUCUUCAAACCUUUUUGGUCAUUACUGACAAAAGGGGGAGAAGCGUAUGAGUUAAUAGUCUUCAAGCGGGUUCAUAUGGGCGGUUGCAUUAUAUUUUGCUGCAUGCUUACAACUCUUGCAUUUUGAAACAUUUGGUUCUUUGAGUUGUAACACCAUAAACUUGAUGGUCGUCUUCUACUUCUGCUACUUGUUUGCUUUACUAUGAUGCGAUGAUAAAUUCCGCAUGUGUGACGAUAACUUCCACACUUAGAUCAUUCUGCAGACGUCCAUUUUUCAUUAUGCAUGUCAUAUUACUUGCUAUAUCAUUUCAUGCAUGACGAAUUAGCUUCAUAAGUUGAAGUGGAUCUCCACAAGUACAACCUGCCAUGUGCAUUUGCAAUCCAAAAGCAAAUUACUUAUAUGCACAUCUUCAGGGGGAGCCCUUGCAACUUAUGAAGACAAUUCCCUAUCCUUACAAUUUCACAUACUUUAUCCCCGUUGAAAACUUCAACCAGUUUGUCAUCAAUCACCAAAAAGGGGGAGAUUGUAAGUGCAUCUAGUGCCACCCCUAGUUAGUUUUGGAGUAUUGACGACAAAGUUGGUUGAGGGACUAAUGCGUUUGUAAGAAUUGCAGGAUAACGCAGGUAGUGUCCCCCAUUGAUUCGGUUUACCUACCGGAGAUGACCCCUAAAAAUGUAUGAAGACAAUGAAGACAAUGGUGGUAUGAGAAGAUAUUCACAUUGAAGACUAUGACAUGAGAAGACAUUGCGUGAAGACCUUGGAGCGUGAAGACUGUGUGGUUUCGUUGUUUCCUUUUCUUCUUUGUUGAGUCAUAGUGAUGCGGAGCAUCCUUCCACCAUCCCCAUGGACUCUACAUCGACACAUCUAACCCCACAAGGACCUAUGACUCGAGCACGUGCAAGAGCUCUCGAAACCGAGGUGACAUCACUCCUAUCACAACUCUCCUUUGAUUCACAUGAGACAUGGUUGCUACCUCAAACGGAAACUCUAUGCAUACUCAAGUACCAAGGAGUCAACCAUGAAGAGGCUAGGAAUCAAGGAGAACCGGAAGCGGAAGACAUGCAUGAAGACGGAGAGGAGAAAGCAACAAGGACCAGAGAGUUCGGACGAUCCGUACGGAGGCCCGAACGAUCCGAACAGAGCCCGGAUGAUCCGGACCCCGGUCCGUACGAUCCGGCUAAUUCCACCGAAGGCAACAGAAGCUCCCUCCCGAAGCCGGAUCAUCCGGACCCCGUCCCGGAUCAUCCGGACCCUACCCGGACGUUCGGACCGUCAGUCGGACAUCCGGCCCUGCGCCGCCACCAGCCGGGCACCCGGACCAUCCGGGCCUCCACCCGGAUCAUCCGGACCAGCCCGGAUCAUCCGGACCCCCGUCCGGAUCAUCCAGCCAGCGCCUGUGUGCGCGUGUUGGGCUGAGCCCAUGUACCCCUUCGCCCCAAACUCUAUAUAUAGGACCCCAUCUCCUCACUUUGAGACUUAGCAUUGGAUUAGCUCAUAUUUGUGUGAGAGCCUUUGCUCAUCCACUCGGUUACUUCUCCUUGGAGAUCAGGACCUCCGUCUAGGAGAAGAUCCCUCAGCGGAUUCAAGACCCCUAUCUAGGGAAGAACAUCAAGGCCUCCUCUUGGAGAUGAACGGUUCCUUUGUAUCCUUACCCUAGUUGACUAUGUAUCUUGUGGAUCUCAUGUGUGUAUGUUGAUCUAGCACUUGUGUGAUCGAUUCCUUGUUGGUUGAGUGAUUCUCUCUCGUUUUCCCCGUGUUUCCCCUCGUGCUUCCGCGUGUUCUUCGUGUUUCCUCCGUAGGAUCCCCUCCAAACGUGAAAGAUCAACGAAUUAGGGUUCCACCCUACAUCAUAUGGUAUCAUGAGCCACGUUGAUCACGUUUUUGGAGCCCCUACCCCGUGAUUUCUAGCUUGAUUUUGUUGUUUUCGUCCUAAAAAUCUGAAAAUCCCCACAAAAAUACCCCCAAUUUUUUUUGUGAUUUGUUGGUUUUGAUGAUGUUUUGUUGUUUUUGAUCCGUGGAUUCGGUGUGUAACUCGUGGAUCUUGCUUUUCCCCACCUUCUCCCCCUCGAAAUCCACCCAAAAUCCCCGAAAUCGUCAAAUUUCUCCCCGUUUUCGUGUUCUUCCCGAGCAGUUCCCGUGCGUGGUUGACCUGCCCGGAUCAUCCGGACCAAGUCCCGGAUCAUCCGGACUCGCCCGGAUCAUCCGGCUCCUGGCCCGGAUCAUCCUGCUUCCUCUGCCGAAACUGCACUUGUGCAGUCCCCCAUCCACCACCACCACCAUCCACACCUACAUACACCCUCCCCACCCCAUCUACCACCACUUCCACUAGCCAAACCCCCACGACACAACCUCCGUACUACCAUUCGAAGUUGAGUUCGACAAUUUGAGUGAGAUUUCCGUGUCCUUUUGUGUUUCGGCUAUCUAGGCGCGGUGCGACAUCAACAACAAACGCUCAUUUUGGUCGACUAUUCAUCUUCGCUACGGACGGUAACAUCGACGACAUCUUUGUCAUACCUUGCAAUUGCAUUGAUAACCAUCAUAUACCAUAUUUUGCGUUGCUUACCCAUCGAGACUAGCCAUUGAGUAUUGCCGGCAACGUGACUUGUGCACAUUAGUUGCAUACACCAUAUCAUACAUACCAUCGAGGUGCAUAUCUUGGAAUCAACUUGUGUGUCACAAAGUUGUCAUCGCAUACACAAUUGCUAUCUUAGUUCGUCAAGUUUGCAUAAGAAAAGAGCUCAAAAGAGAAAGAGCCACUCAAGCUUUUAAGCAAAGAGGAAAGAUAAGCAAAGAGCUUAUAAGCAACAAGCAUAGCAUCAUACAACAUUAAGAUUGUCACAUAAGAUCAUCUUGGAUCAUUGCACCGAUACACCAUACAUAUAGAAUACUUGGGAUAGAGAUCGUUGCAUUUUUGCCUAGUAGGUUGUGCACAAGCUCCGUAUCCGCCUAUUGUGCAAUCGUGCUAGCGUCUCUCUAGUAUUGUGCAACAAGAGCAUUUUCGUGGAUUCCACAUUUUGGCUCACUUUUGGUUUGCACAAUCCCAUUUAUCUAUUUGCGUGUGUGUUUCCGUGUACCACUACUUGCUUGGUCUACUUGUUGCAUAUACGAAUUUGCGAAUCUUCUUCAACAUUUUUGAGUCAAGCUAACGAUUGCAAUCAAUUUUGUGCCACCAUCCUAACCAAGCUCCACCAAAAGCUUUUACUUGUGUAGGUGUGAGAAUCGACAAGGAUCGGUACCAAUAGUGCUAUUUCAUUGUCCGCAUUUGAGUGAACUUGAUUCAUCUUCAACUUCGGUCAAAGGUACAUUGGUAUUCGUUCUUCUCCUUCUACAACUCACAAUUUGCUUGAAAUGAUGGAUAGGCCAAGUUCUUCUACAAACCCACUCUUCAUCGAGCAAGACGACGACAUGUCAUCAUACGUCACCAAGAACCACCUCUUUGGCGCACAACGAGCUCUCCAUCAAGAGCAACAACCAAUGAGCGAACGCAUCGACAAACUCUCCACCGACUUGCGACUCUCCGAGCAACGUACAAGAGAAUACUUCGACAACAAGCUCAACGCACACAAGAAAGAGAACGAUGCAAGAAUGGACGAGAUCCGCGCCUUGUUGGUGAACUGGCGUACUUCUAGUUCCUCACACUCAAGACGGAGCCACUCCAGUCGCCACUCUGACGACUCCUUCUCCGACACAAGUACACCGUCAUCGAACACUCUUCGACGAGCCGCGCGUCAAGAUCGUCAUGCAUCUCGCAACCCGCUACACGACAAGAAUCUCCAAGAGCAAGUUGAUGAAGAAGUUCCCUGUCCUCAAUCGAACCAAGUGGCGUUUGCUCAAGCUCAAGAAUGACAACGUCUUCGUCGCCAACAAGAACAAGAACGAGCGCGCCUACAUCAAGAGCAACAAGACGCCGAGGCCCAACGUCUUCAACAACAACAUCGAGAAGCACACGCUCUUGAGGCGGAACGUGCCCUUCAAGCAUCAAGUCGAGCUAUCGCCAACCGCAAUCGCGAAAGGCGCAAUCAAGAAGAAGCCCUUCGAGAAGAAAUACAAGAGAGGAACUACCAUCCGCGUGCGCAACGUCAAACCCCACAAGCUCCUCCACAAGCUCCUCAAGAUCAUCCCCAGCCUCAAGGUCAACAAGAGCAAGUUGAUCAUGGACUUCCUCCUCGCCAAGAGCAACAUGAGAAUGAUUACCCUCCACGUCAAGAACGUCAUCAUCAACAUCGACCUGAACACAAUGAAGAACAACGCUAUGGCAAGCUCAAGUUCACAAUGCCCAAGUUCAAUGGAAGCAAUGAUCCCGAAGAGUACCUCUCAUGGGCAUUGAAGGUCGACAAAAUCUUUCGUUUGCACAACUAUGAUGAAGAAAAGAAGAUCGCUAUGGCAUCACUUGAGUUCCAAGACUAUGUGCUCAUAUGGUGGGAACAAGUCCUUGAGCACCGACAAGCAAGAGGUGAACCUCCAAUCACCACUUGGGCUCAAAUGAAGGAUGUCAUGUGAGCACGCUUUGUGCCCACCUACUACAACCGUGAUCUCUUCAAGAAGCUACAACUCCUCAAACAAGGAACAAAGAGUGUUGAAGAAUACUACAAGGAAAUGGAGAUUGUCAUGAUUCGAGCCAAUGUCACGGAGGAUGAUGAGCAAACAAUGGCAUGAUUCUUGAAUGGACUCAACCAUCCCAUCAAGAAGAUCACCGACUUCCAACCCUACUCCAACCUCAUUGAGCUCGUGCAUCAAGCUACAAAGGCGGAACGACAAGUGCAAGAUGACUUCAAGUACGCCAAGUACUCAUCCAAGACAUACGGCUUCUCCAACAACCAAGCUUCAACAACUACUCCAACUUCGACAUCAACCAAGCCUUCUCCAAGCAACGACGACAAGUCAAGUUACAAAAAAGCUUCUACAAGUUCAAGUCGUCUUCCUCCUACUACAAGCAACUCCAAGCCGCGUGCUUCAUCAUCUACUCCAACCGAUGAGACCGUCAAGACAAGCUCCUUCAAGUGCUUUAUUUGCGGCGGCCGAGGCCACAAGUCAUAUGAAUGCACCAACAAGCGCACCAUGAUACUCAACGACGAUGGCACAUACGACUCAAUGAGUGAAGAUGAAAUGGAAGCUAUUGAGCAAGUGGCCAUGCACCGGCGCAUCAACGAGGAUGAAGAUGAUCAAGUCUUUUGUGACGAAGAUACAAGUCCCGCUCUUGUUGUCUCCAAAGUCUUGACACUUCAACAUCAACAAGAAGAAGACCAACGAUGCCACAUCUUCCACACAAAGGCCGGCAUCAAUGGGAGAUCCGUCAAGGUCAUCAUCGAUGGAGGUAGUUGCCACAACUUGGCAAGCGAAGAACUAUGCUCCAAGCUCCAAUUGGUCAAGAAGAAGCAUCCGCAACCCUACAAGGUUCAAUGGCUAAGUGACUCCGGUAGUAUACGAGUUGAGCAUAUGGUCCAAGUAUCAUUCAAAAUAGGUGCUUAUGAGGACACUUUGGAGUGUGAUGUGGUCCCAAUGACCGUUUGCCACCUCCUCCUUGGUCGGCCAUGGCAAUUCGACCGUGGUGUCUACCACAAUGGGCGUACAAACCACUAUAGCUUCAAGAUGAAAGGCAAAGAAUAUGUCCUACGACCAAUGUCUCCUAGUCAAGUGAUAGCCGACAAACAAGCCACCAACCAAAGAGAGAAGAGCGAGAAAGUGAGCCACCAAAAAGUGAGUGAGAGCCACAAGCCAAAUUUGAGCGACUCUUCGCCUAGAGAGAAAAACCUCAUACUAUUCGCCACCAAACAUGAGAUGAGAGAAGUGUGUGAGAACCCAUCGAGUGUGAUGCACUUUGUCCUUGUGUGCAAGGAUGGAGAACCAAAAACUAACACCACUCAUGAGCUACCUUUGGUGUUUCAAUCUCUUUUGCAGGAAUUUCAAGAUGUUUUCCCCGAUGAGCUACCUCCGGGUCUACCUCCUCUACGAGGCAUUGAGCAUCGAAUCGACCUCAUCCCCGGAGCGCCACUUCCAAACAAAGCUCCAUACCGUGUCAAUCCCGAAGAAACCAAGGAGAUUCAACGGCAAGUACAACAACUAAUCGACAAUGGUCAUGUACGUGAAAGCUUAAGCCCUUGUGCCGUUCCCGUUAUUCUUGUGCCUAAGCCCGAUGGAAGUUUCCGCUUGUGUUCCGAUUGUAGACCUAUAAAUGCUAUCACCGUGCGCUAUAGGCAUCCCAUUCCUCGCUUAGAUGAUAUGCUUGAUGAACUUAGUGGAGCCAACUUUUUCUCAAAAAUUGAUCUUAAAAGUGGCUAUUAUCAAAUCCGCAUUCAUGAGGGUGAUGAAUGGAAAACUGCUUUCAAAACAAAAUUUGGCUUAUAUGAAUGGUUGGUUAUGCCUAUGGGUUUGUCGGAAGCUCCCGGAACUUUUGUGCGUCUCAUGCAUCAUGUACUUCGUCUAUACAUUGGAAUCUUUGUUGUGGUUUACUUCGAUGAUAUUCUUGUGUUUAGCAAAACCAUGAAAGAGCAUCUUGAUCAUGUUAAGCUUGUUUUGCAAACGCUUCGAAAGGAAAGUCUUUAUGCCAACUUGAAAAAAUGCACUUUUGGCAUUGACAAAGUGGUUUUCUUGGGUUUCGUUGUCUCUUCCAAGGGUGUCCAUGUUGAUGAAACUAAGAUCAAAGCAAUUAAAACUUGUCCCCAACCCACCAAUUUGCAACAAGUGCGAAGUUUCCUUGGUCUUGCAGGUUUUUAUCGCCGCUUUGUUAAAAACUUUAGCACUAUUGCAGCUCCUUUGCAUGCUUUGAGUAAGAAGAAUACUCGUUUUGUUUGGGGACCUUUGCAAUCCAACGCUUUUGAUGAGCUCAAGUCUUUACUUACUCAUGCUCUGAUUCUUGCUUUGCCCAAUUUUGACAAAACUUUUGAGGUUCAUUGUGAUGCAAGUGGUACCGGAAUUGGCGGAGUUUUAAUGCAAGAAAAACAAGUCAUUGCUUAUUUUAGUGAAAAACUCUCCGGUGCUCAACUUAACUAUCCCGUGUUUGACAAGGAAUUGUAUGCUUUAGUGCGUGUGCUACAUGUUUGGGAACAUUACCUUAGACCUCAUGAGUUUGUCAUCCAUACCGAUCAUGAAACGCUUAAGUACUUAAAAGGCCAAACUAAAUUGAACAAGUGUCAUGCCAAAUGGAGUGAAUUUAUUGAAUCCUUCCCAUAUGUGAUCAAGUACAUUAAGGGCAAGGAAAAUGUAGUUGCUGAUGCACUUUCACGCAUAUGCACGCUUGUCACCCAACUUGAGUUGAAUGUUAUUGGCUUUGAGCACAUCAAAGAUUUGUAUGUUAGUGAUCCAUCUUUUGCACCUCAUUAUGCUAAAUGUUUGACACAUACAUCUUGGGAACAAUAUUACCUCAAGAAUGGUUAUCUUAUGAGAGCUAACAAACUAUGCAUACCUGAGUCUUCUCUUCGUUUGCUCCUUUUGCAAGAGGCUCAUGGAGGUGGACUCAUGGGACAUUUUGGACGCGACAAGACCUUCGCCACGCUCUCCAAGAACUACUUUUGGCCCAAGAUGUUUCGAGACGUCUCACGCUUCACCACCCGAUGCUCAACAUGCCGCAAAGCUAAGUCAAAAGCUCAAUCUCAUGGUCUUUACAUGCCUCUUCCUAUUCCUUAUCAACCUUGGGAAGACAUUAGCAUGGACUUUGUACUUGGUUUGCCUAGAACUCAAAAUGGAAAGGACUCCGUAUUUGUUGUUGUGGACCGAUUUUCUAAAAUGGCACAUUUCAUUCCUUGCAACAAGGUAGACGAUGCUUCACAUAUUGCAAAUCUAUUUUGUAGGGAAAUCUUGCGCCUCCAUGGAGUACCAAAGUCAAUCGUCUCCGACCGCGACGUCAAGUUCUUGAGUUACUUUUGGAAAACUCUCUGCGCCAAGCUCGGAAUCAAGCUCAUGUUCUCCUCCGCAUACCAUCCUCAAACCGACGGCCAAACGGAGGUGACGAACCGGACGCUCUCCACUCUACUUCGCGUGUUGAUCAAGAAGAACAUCAAGGAGUGGGAGGCGUGUCUACCCAUCGCCGAGUACGCCUACAACCGCGCAAGACAUUCGACGACCGGCAAGUCCCCCUUCGAGAUUGUCUACGGCUUCAACCCAUUGUCCCCAUUGGACAUUCUACCUCUACCUCUACAAGAACGCACCAACCUCGACGCAAGUGCCCGCGCAAGCUACAUCAAGAAGAUGCAUGAAGAUACAAGAAACACUAUCGAGCGCCAAGUACAACGACUAACGACCAAGCUCAACAUCAACAAGCAACCCAUGAUCUUCAACAUAGGCGAUCUCGUCUGGCUACACCUUCGCAAGGAACGCUUCCCCAACGAAUGCAAGUCCAAACUUCUACCUCGAGCCGACGGACCCUUCAAGGUGUUAGCACGCUACAACAACAACGCCUACAAGCUCGACCUACCAAGCGACAAGUACAACGUGAGCGACACCUUCAACGUCAAAGACCUCUCACCUUUCCAUGGUGAUGAAGAACUAGAUCCGAGGUCGGAUCCUUUCGAAGGGAGGGGAUAUGAUGCGGAGCAUCCUUCCACCAUCCCCAUGGACUCUACAUCGACACAUCCAACCCCACAAGGACCUAUGACUCGAUCACGUGCAAGAGCUCUCAAAACCGAGGUGACAUCACUCCUAUCACAACUCUCCUUCGAUUCACAUGAGACAUGGUUGCUACCUCAAACGGAAACUCUAUGCAUACUCAGGUACCAAGGAGUCAACCAUGAAGAGGCUAGGAAGCAAGGAGAACCGGAAGCGGAAGACAUGCAUGAAGACGGAGAGGAGAAAGCAACAAGGACCAGAGAGGCCGGACGAUCCGGACGGAGGCCCGGACGAUCCGAACGGAGCCCGGAUAAUCCGGACCCCGGUCCGGAUGAUCCGGCUAAUUCCAUCGAAGGCAACAGAAGCUCCCUCCCGAAGCCGGAUCAUCCGGACCCCAUCCCGGAUCAUCCGGACCCUACCCGGACGUCCGGACCGUCAGUCGGACAUCCGGCCCUGCGCCGCCACCAGCCGGGCACCCGGACCAUCCGGGCCUCCACCCGGAUCAUCCGGACCAGCCCGGAUCAUCCGGACCCCCAUCCGGAUCAUCCGGCCAGCGCCUGUGUGCGCGUGUUGGGCUGAGCCCAUGUACCCCUUCGCCCCAAACUCUAUAUAUAGGACCCCAUCUCCUCACUUUGAGACUUAGCAUUGGAUUAGCUCAUAUUUGUGUGAGAGCCUUUGCUCAUCCACUCGGUUACUUCUCCUCAGAGAUCAGGACCUCCGUCUAGGAGAAGAUCCCUCAGCGGAUUCAAGACCCCUAUCAAGGGAAGAACAUCAAGGCCUCCUCUUGGAGAUGAACGGUUCCUUUGUAUCCUUACCCUAGUUGACUAUGUAUCUUGUGGAUCUCAUGUGUGUAUGUUGAUCUAGCACUUGUGUGAUCGAUUCCUUGUUGGUUGAGUGAUUCUCUCUCGUUUUCCCCGUGUUUCCCCUCGUGCUUCUGCGUGUUCUUCGUGUUUCCUCCGUAGGAUCCCCUCCAAACGUGAAAGAUCGACGAAUUAGGGUUCCACCCUACAUCACAU